rnacentral:lncRNA from 1 species
UCCUAUCUCAAAAAGGGACUCUCUCAACUCCAAGAGAGAACAGUCGCAUCUCCAUUUUUGGUGACUCCCCUUUGUCUCUCACCCUCACUUCUCAAUAGACAGCUGCUUCCCCCUUUAUUUUUCAUCUGUUUUCCCUCAACCUUGAGAGACAAAGCUUGCGCCUUCUCCAUGGUUGUCGUCACUGGAGGUGAUGACCGGCGACGGCCAUGACUUCACCCCUUCUCUCAUCUCCCCCUCUCUUUUCCCCCAUGUUUGUUCCUUAAUGGCUUUGCUCAAAACCCGACGAAAAUAAUUAUAUUUGUUCGAACGCAAACAGAUCUGACCGGAUCUGUGUUUUUCGGUCGACUCUGGCGAAGUCAUGUUCUCUUGAUGUUGCUGGUGCUAUUCCGGUGACAUCGCUGUUGAAGUAGCGCCGCUGGCCUUUGAUAAUGAAGCUAAGAUCUAGAGAAACAUGAAACCUUAUCUUUCCGGCGACCUCUGUAUUUUGCGGCCACUUGUUCUUGCGCCUUCCUCCAACAAUUUGAGGCCUUUGGUUGUGGUUGUUUGCUCUGUUUGGACGUUAUUACUCAUGAGUUCGUGUCGCCUGUUCGCCGGGUAUUUUGUUUAUUGUUUGAACCGUAUGGUGAUAGUUUAUACUGAUUGAUUAAUGCCAUAUCUUGGUUUGAAAGUGGUUUGUGAUACCACUGUUGGCUGUCGCUUCAGUUUGUUCUUGUUCUCUUGUGAAAGCCCAUUUGCUUUUUUGACACAUCACAUGAGAAUUACCCGUUUCAACUCAUGGAUUUGACCACUACUGUUUGCUGCUCUUUCAUUAACGUAGAAUUCGAAACAAAAAUGUGGUUUUUUUGGAUUCAAAUAAUCAAAAUAUGAAGAAAAAAAAAAAUAACUUGGGAACCAUAAUAUAUAUAGCACGGUAUUUCACCGCACUAUACCUUAACUGCACGUUUGUCCGUUAAGGUAUAGCGCGGUGAAAUACCGCGCUAUACUUGAACUCAAAUGGGCGGAAAGGUAUAGUGCACAUAUGUACUGCGCUAUACGAUAGCGCUCUAUAUAUGCGCGCUAUACCUACACAAAUAAGCCGGCCAUCUUCUUCCCCAAACAAAACAGAACGCCCCCUCCCCCAAAUUAAAAACUCCCAACAGCGCCUCCCCCUCCCCCCCCCCCCCCCAAUUUUUAAGUAAAAAAACUCGCUUGGAGCCCAUCGAUCCCACAAAAAGUGUAGAUUCUCGGUUUCACAUCCUAGCUAAGGCGUUAUCUCGUAGUGGAUUGCUCAUUUCGGCUCCAAAUCACUAAAUCUUCAAGUUUUCAGAAAAUUAAAAUCGAGAUAUUCCGACUUAGUUUUUGUUAAAACUCAUGUAUAAAAAAUGCCUAUUAGUUAUUUUUUACUGUAUUCUAUGUUAUUUCGUGAUUAUUUUGCGAUUUAAUUAAUUUGUUAUUUUUUAUCCAGAUUAUAUUAUUAGUAUGCUAAAAUAAUUAGUAUAAUUGAGAAAUUAUUAUUAGUUGUUAGAAAAAAUGUUAAUUAGUUAAUUUUUACUGUGGUAUAUGUUUUUUCAUUAUUGUUUUGUGAUUAAAUUAAUUUUUUAUUUUUAUUCGGUUUAGAUUAUUUAUUUGCUAAAAUACUAGUAAAAUAGAUAAAUUGUUAUUUUAGGAAUAAUUAACCUUAUUUAGAUGUUAUUGUUGUACAUAUAUGAAUAUGUGACCUUAUUUACCAAAUCUUAUGCCCUAAUGUAGUGCUCGUAUUUGUAAUGUAGUGCCCUUUUAGCGUAGUAAAAUGUAGUGCCCUUUAGCAUAGUAUCUUUGUAGUUAUUGAAAUUAAUCAUUUAAUUAUCUGUUAAACCCAAAAGUAUUUGAAAAAAACUGAUAGUUCAAACACAAAAUCUCUCGAAUUCUAGUCAACAAACGUAAGAAAAUAACAUUAGAAAAUAACAAUAGUUGUCAAACUAAGUAUUGUUAUAUGAAUAUUUAAUAAUUAAAUCCUGUAUAGUUAUGAAAAUUAAUUAUUUAAUUUUAUUAUAGUAAAAAAUAGGUGAGUAGCAAAUAAACAUAUAAAAUAAUAAACUAACAUAUAAAAUAACAGACCUGUUGAGUGAUAAAUUGGAGAAAUUUUCUCAUCAUGAACACAAGAACAUUGGAUACCUUGGUGCAACUGGGCUUCAAAUAUCGAGUCCGGAAUAAAAAUGUGGUUCAUUUGGACUCACACUAAGUAUUGUUAUAUGAAUAUUUAAUAAUUAAAUCCUGUAUAGUUAUGAAAAUUAAUUUUUUUAAUUUUAUUAUAGUAAAAAAUAGGUGAGUAACACACAAACAUAUAAAAUAAUAAACUAACAUAUAAAACAAUAAACUAACAUAUAAAAUAAGAAACAAACAUAUUAAAUAGUAAACUAACAUAUAAAAUAUUAAAGAUGUUAAGCAAUGAAAAAAAAAUAUACUUUAAUUAAUACUGUUCAAUUUACAAUAAUCGUCAUGGAGGUUCCGCAUGUGGAUCCCGGACCUGCCUCGCUAGAGCUACUGUUGCUACAGGCCGAGCAUAGGUCUUCGUACAUAUGGGAGGGGCAGUUAUUGGCCCAGACGUUCCAUGCUAGACGAGUAGACGAUAUGUGGGACUUUCUUAGAGCCCACCAUCUCCAAUCACGUAUAGUCAGAUGCCUUCAGGAUACGGGUUUCUAUAGGAUUAUUGAGAUCGGCCGGUUGCAGCUGGAUUUAUCGUUGAUCACGGCUUUGAUAGAGCGGUGGCGACCGGAGACGCACACAUUUCAUUUACCCAUUGGCGAGGCUACUAUCAUGCUUCAGGACGUGGAGGUUCUGUAUGGGCUGCCGGUUGAUGGACAUCCUGUAGCUUUACCGUAUGCUCUCAGAGAUUAUACGGGAUUGCAAUACCUGGAGAUGUUGCAGCGGCUCACCAGUUUCCAGCCAGCGGAGGAGGCUAUAUUGGUUGGGGCUAGUCGUCUAUAGUUGACGCUCGUCUGACUACAUCUGGAGGCGAUGCAUGCGGACAUUACGGAUGAUACACCGGAUCUUCAUAUUAACCGGUACAUGAGAUUGUUGAUGCUUCUUAUGUUUGGAGGGGUAUUGUUCCCGAACACUUCGGAAAACCUAGUCAGCUUGAGAUUUAUUCAUCAUCUUGAGCAGUUAGAUGAUUUACCUGGUUACAGUUGGGGUGCAGCUGUUCUUGGUCUCUUGUAUAGGCAGAUGUGCCGGGCGAGCAUGGGCAUCCAACGAGACAUUGCCGGAUUUUUGCCGUUGCUGUAGGUGAAAACAUAGUCAAUUAUUUUCAUGAUUAUAACAUACAUAGUAAAAAUAUACCUUAAAUGUUACGUCCACAUUGUAUAGGUUUGGGCCUGGGAGCGGUUCCUGCAAUUGCAGCCACCUCUACCACCCAUCUCUCCGGAUGCACCACCUCCACCGUUUCUCCCUUUAGCUAGGAGGUGGGUUGAUAAGCGAGGCUACGGACGCGAGGUCGAGGGUCGACAUAAUCUCCCCUAUUGCAGGGAUUUGUUGGAUUUGUUGGCGGGCAUGCAAGUACAUGUAUACUUAAGUUUACUUGGCCUGGCUUUAUAUGUGUUGCGUAUAAUCACGAUUCCUGUUUUUACUUAAUAGUUCAUUUGGAGGCCAUAUAACGACGAGCUAAUAGCUGGUUUGCAAGAUUAUUGCUCGACCGGCCGACUUAUGUGGAGCUCUUUCGUCCCGUUGAUGUGUCUCGAUAUUGUCGAGCAUCAUGCCACUGAGCGAGUCCUUCGCCAGUUUGGUCGACCCCAGCUUGUACUUACUCCGCCCGCUUGGCUUAGGACACAUUGCUAGCGGGAUGAUCGUUCCAAGGUUGACCAGACAUACGUGGCCUGGCUAGAGGUGCAGAUUGAUAUUUGGGACCGUUGGCAUGACCUGAUUCCGCCACCCCCUCCACCAAAGCAUACGGAUGGUGAGCAUGAGUAUAUGGUCUGGUACCACAGCGUUACCCGACUUUUCAUCGGGAAUCUCGUUCAUCACGCCGGCGGUCGGUACAUUCCAUACACCGGGAGGUAUGAGGCACUGAUAUGUUAUCUGUUAUACUUACUUAUAACGUUAACCAAGCGUUCCGUAAUUAAUAUUUUACAUGUUGUGCAGGCUAUUGGCUUACAUCUGUUCUACCAGUUAGGGCUGCAGAUGCAGCAGUAUACCGGCGAGGGAGCGGCCGCUUUGCAUGAGUAUGGCUGCCAGGUUACAGAUCUGGCUUCCCGGACAUGGAGGCGAGCCCGAGAUGACGAGCGCUUAGGACACGAGGCUAAUUAUCUGCUGCCAGAGCAGUACCAUCCUGGGCCAGUAGUGGAGCCUGAACGUGAUCGACGUGGCAGGCGUGCCCAGAGAGAAAGAGGUGUCCCACGAGGUUGUGGUGGUCAGUGGGGACGUGGUCCCCAACAACGGGGCGUUGAGCCACCUGUUGAGGAUUUUGGAGUUGAUCAUCCGGGUGACCACCCUGAGCCAGACAAUGCUCCUCAUGAUAUGCCGUCAUUCAGCCUUCAGCUAACGCCAGGGACUUCACAGGUGUACUCGUCAGCUCCAUUGUUGAUCGCGGGCACGACCAUUAUGCGACAAGAGUGGGAUAAGUACUUUCCUGGUCCCCCAGAGCCAUCGAGGGUUGUUGAUGAUCGUCCGACACGAGAUGUGCAUAGUGGGCGCAGACUGAGUUAUGGGUCAUCAUCGAGGGAUGCCGAAGAUCUUUCACAGGUGCAGGUUUUUUUGUAUUACUAUUAUUUAUAUUUAUUUUUAUCUCAUUGAUUAGUCAUCAAUAUCUAUAGCGUUUUUAUUUUUUUUUAAAGACAUCAUCCUCGCCCGUCACGGAGGCUACUUUAUGCGAUACUGACAUGGCUGAGAUGGAUGAUUAUAUUGAGGAGCCCGCCGAGACCAUGGUAAGAUCAUUAAAAAAUUUUUAGCUAACACGUACAUUAGUAAUAUAUAAUAAAAUAUCUUAUUAUUCUGUAGGUUACUGCUGGACCGAGCCUGCCAGCCUUAUCGACGAUCAUGCUGAAGCUCAUCCUCCGAUAAAGAGGCGACGUGAUGAGGAUGAUCCUGAUAGUGUAGCCGGGCGGGAUGGGAUGUGCCUCAGGCCAGCCAAUGCUUUAAAGCAUACAGGCUGUGGGACACAUUGGCAUUUUUUAUUAUCUGUACAUAUGACAUUCAGUAUAUAUUAGCAACAUUAUUUAUGUUUUACAUUAUUUGCGUAUGUGUUUAUAUUUCUCGGGUUAUUUAUUAGUUAAAUACUACAACACAAAAACAAAAACAACAACUUAACAUAAUUUAAAUUCGGUACAAUUAAUGAAAAUACAUGACACGUAAAACAUAAAGAUAAAAUACUACACUCAACACAUCCAUGUGUUUGUUUAGUUACUAUCGCCUAUUAUUCCGUGCUUCAACCACUUAAAUUGCUCUUCCAACCUAUUUUUUUCUUCUUCUGCCUCUUUUAGUUUCUCCUGUACUGCCGCAAGUUGUUAUUGUAGUUUAAAGAUCUGGAGUACGUAUUCACCGAUCAUAUUCCAAACAUACUACAAACAUGAUUUGUAGUAUUCCUUGUUAAUGGGUUCAUCAUACCAUUCUUCAAAUCUACAUUGAUUUCUGUCCUACCAAUGGGGAUUAUAACACAACACUAUUAGUUAACAUGUUAUAUAAAAAAUAUUAACAAACUCUUUUUCCAAAAUAAUAACUUACAUGUUGUUGACAUAUCCAGUGUCUGCACCCCAUAUUACUAUAUGACCAACAUGGCUUCAAAAUCGCACGUUUGCCGCAAUAACACCUUGGUACGUCAUUGCGUCCAGACAUUUCUUAAUGCAAGAAUAAUGAAAAUUUUAUGGAAUGGUUUUCUAUUUGUUUUGGUUAAGCGCAAAUAAUAACAAAAAUGCACUAGGCUUUUAUAGGCAAGAUACUACACAUAACGCCUUUUGGUGGCACACUAUGUUUCGCGUAAUAAUGAUUCUUUAGGGUACAAGACAGUUUUUUCAGAACAUCAGCUUUUUCAGGUCGACAAGACAAUACACAUAACGCCCUAUGGUGGCGCGCUAUGAAGCGAGUGAUAAUGAUUCUUUAGGGUAUAAGACAGCUUUUGCAGAACAUCAACUUUUUCAGGUCGACAAGACAGUACAUAUAACGCCCUUUGGUGGCGCGCUAUGUAUCGCGUGAUAAUGAUUCUUUAUGGUACAAUACAGCUUUUCCAGAACGGUAGCUUUUCAGGUCAACAAGACAAUACACAUAACGCCCUUUGGUGGGCGCGCUAUGUUUCGCAUGAUAAUGAUUCUUUAGGGUACAAUACAGCUUUUCAGGUCGAUAAGACAAUACACAUAACGCCCUUUGGUGGCAUAAUAUGUUUGGCAUGAUAAUGAUUCUAUAGAUGGAAAAUCCACUAGCUGUUCAUCAUGCAAUGGAUGAUCUUAACUGCCUGGGAAUAACGGAGGAUUAGUACUGGGAUUUAUUCAAAAAUGAAAAAUUGCAAAGAGACAAUGAUUAUCAUGUUUUCCCAAUAGUUGUCGAGUAGGAGGGACUACCUAAGUUUCUACCACAGACGUUGGACGUCGGAGUCCCAUAUUCUUGUAGAAAUCAAGCAAGUGGUCUUAUUGAUGAUAGCGAUGAAAUACGAGAAAUGUGUGUCAAUUGGGGCCUAGAUUACGAUGCCCUCGGUCCCGAAGGGUGCGUACACGAUGUUCACGAAGAAGAUGAAGACAGUGACAUUGAAAUCGUGCCAGACAGCGACGAUAACGGCAAAUGACUACUAUUUCUUUUUCUUGGGAUGUAUGUUAAAUUGUUGUACUGAGGUAAUAAUGCUAAAUAUCAAUUGGAUUUAACCCCAUUGGAAUCAUAAUUUUAUUUCAUACAUUUUACAAACUGAACAUUUACAUACAUUUAAAUUGGCACAUUGGAUGAACUUCCACCGGGAGCUGAAUUACCACCGCUACCCAAACCAACUGAAGGACAUUUACGGCGGUCGUGUCCUGUUUGGGAACAUAUGCCACAUUUACGCGCAUAAAUGGUAUCACUAACAUCCAUUUGGUUCUGUAUACGUGUUCUUUUCUGCACUUGUCGUUGACGCACAUACUCCUGGUUACACACCAUUUUAGAUGGUUCUGGCAGCCAAUAAUGCUUAGCACCCACUGGCUGCAGCUGUCCGCUAUAGGUGUUUAAUUAUACAGCAACACUAUAUUCUUUAUCAAUGUAUAUCAUUGUCGCGAAACCUGUAAGUUGAAAGCACUUAAUGGCGUGUGACCAUGACAUGUGAUAGAUGGACCAUUUACCACAGGAGCAUAACCUUCUGGCUUCAUUGACGGUGUGUGUAUUAUUCCCCCGGUGGUGAUGGAUAGCGGUGCGAACUUCAAAAAUAUUUCGCUCAUUGCAAUAUUGCAAAAUUGAAUGUCACUGUGCUCGCUUCCUAUAUUUCUCAAAUCUUUUCAUUGGUAUUGGCAUGAAUUCAACACCCCUUUCGAUCAAUAAAGAUGUAGCUCUAGACCUUUCAACAAACCUCUCCGCCAUCAUCUUGAAUGACAUCCGCACCAUGGUAGUGACAGGGAAUCCACGUGCAUACUUCAAUAACCCGUUGAAAUCUCUAACACAUUUGCAGUCAGAAUUCUCCAUCUUCUGCCACCAUCCGCAUGCAAAGUCCACUUGUCAAGCUCAUGUCGCAUCAACCAAGUAUAGGCUCCUUGGUCUUCCUGCCUGAUCAAUUCCAUUCGCCUCCUGAAUUUACACUCUUGGUGCUCUGUAGAAGCCAUUCACAUUAAAUCAUGCAAGUCCUUAUUCGGAUGAGCCCUAUAGAAGUUGGCCUUCAUGUGUAUCACACAGUAACGGUGGUAGGUAUACGGUUCCUGCCAUGCACGCAAAUUCUGUACAGAACUUAAAAUACUGCCAUGACGAUCCGAUNNNNNNNNNNNNNNNNNNNNNNNNNGUCGUCUAUGGAUAUUACCGGCCGACAAUGCACAAAACCAUCAAUGGCUGGUUUAAAUGCCCAGAACACAUAUCUGAAUAUGUGUUCUGGUAUUCUCGGACUCCGCUCAAGCUUCCAUUCAACAAUAGUCCCGGGGUUAAAGUGUUGCAAUGCGGCCAUAUACCCGGGUAGAGAUGCAAAUGACUUAUCCCAGUUACCAUAAACAAUUUCAAACGCACAUUUGCGCCCGAGAAAUGCCUUUCUCUUGGUAAUAGUACACCCAUAUACCUUGUGGACAGAUGUUAUACACUCUUUAAUAUUAUACCUUAUGGACGCUUCAAUGUGUGGAAUCAAGACAAGAGAAAUCAAGUCAACAUUCAAGUUAAAAUGAUUCCCACUGAAUGUGUCCAUUUCACAAUUGUGGGUGCCAAUGUAUUUACCCACAACCCACAUAUUGUUUUCCAGCUUCCUCGCACCCACAACCCACAUGUUUACCCACAACCCAUAACCAUUUACGACAAAUAACCUUAUAUACAUCCGGAGAUAACUCAUGAACCACGAUUUUACGAUGCUCUUUUAUGUUGUACAUUCGCACCGCCCUGUGUAGGCGCGCUUUAUUAGCAAAAAGCAUGCCCUUUGACAGUACCGUUUCUCUAGAUUCAUCCCACAUUACUGUCCGAAUUUCAUCAAGAUCCCUUGUGAGGGCAUCCACAUCCGGCAUACUUGGCAACUGAUCAAGGUAGGGAAUCUCUCUUGAAUGAAACGGCAUGUGGGACUCGUACACUCUUGGUCUAACGGGAGGUGGAGCAUGCUCCCUCGUCAAAUCAGGUUCAGCAUUCUCUUCCUCCUCAUUAUCACACUCAUCAGGGAAGGGUGUAUCAUCUCCAGACUCAUCAGCAUUGUUAUCAUAAUCACUAUUCUCUUCCUGACUCUGCGCAUCUGCCAGAUCCCGAUUAAAUAUGUCAUCUUCGGGAAAUUGAGUAAGGAAAGGACCUUCAAGUUGCUCGUUUUCACUGCAUAACCAAUAAAAUAAUGAAUCUCAAAUUGAUCCAAACUUUACAUAUAGCUUUAUCACUUCAUUUACAAAUCAUAAUGUGUUGAUAUCCCAUGAUGGACAUUAUCCUAUUGAUGAUGACUCCCGGAUGAACCACCAUGAUCCAACACACCAAAACUAGGCAUAUUCCAACUGGGCGUAGGUUCAUAAAUUGUAAAAUUCAUAUCUGGUCGGUACCUCUUGUGGAAUAUAUGAGUUUUAAUACAAAUUCAUUACAUAAAAAUAAACAUCGUAACACAAAGGAAAAUUGAAGUUUACCACUCAGCUUGUGGAUUAAGUAAACUAGGGGAGAAAUUAUUUCCUCGCUCCUCAUUCGCCCGUGGAGAUAAGUUUAGAUCAGGCCAAACUCUUUCACCCGGAACCUGUUUGGCUAAAACUGCUCCAAAAUAACCACCCGAUGAUUAAGGGAUAUCCCUACUUUGCGGAACCUCAUUAUUGCAAAUGUAUUCAGCCUUAACGUACAUUUUCAACAUUUUUAUCACAAGAUAUUCCCGAUAUUCAUCUAGAGUCCUCAAAAAAUCUUUUAAAGUUUCAUCGUCUUCAAUGUUAAACUCAGCAUAACAAGCAACCCCUUGCGGAGUAAAAGAAUACGGAUAUCUUUUGGUUACUUUAAUAUUCACCAAAUGUUUGCUCACACUCAUUUUUUUUACAUAACAAUGAUACCAAUGUAUCGUACUCCAUUGUAAGUGGCAAAUUAACAUGACACUAUGGAGAACAACUAUAGUGUACUGAGUUAUUCUCCAUCACAACCUCACCCCCACAAUAUAAUGAAACCCUAAUUCUUCGCUCUUCAGACAUUAUGACAAAAUGCAAAAUAACUUAACGAACAAAUAUUUCGGAAGACUUGAAGGAUUCUGAAUGGAUUUUUACAAAAUCCUCCUGAAACUCUUUAAAUAAGGAAAAAAUUGAUGUAUAGCACAUUAUAUAUGCAUGCUAUACCUAGUUGAAUUAUUGGUCUGUCAAUUAAGUUCAUAAGAUUGGCAGUGGGCCCAACUUUUACGUAUAGCGCGGUAUUUCACCGCGUUAUACCCUCUUGAAUUAUUAGCAUGUCAGUUAAUUCUAGAAGAAUUAUUAGCGGGCCCAAAGUUCAAAUAUAGAGCGGUCUUUCACCGCGCUAUACCUCAACGGACAAAUGUGCCGUUAAGGUAUAGCGUGGUGAAUUACCGCGCUAUAUAUAUUAUGGUCCCCAAGUUAUUUUCCCAUAUAUUUUGGUUUUUUGAGUCCAAAAAAACCACAUUUUGGUUCCGGACUCAGAACUUGGGUCCAUUUGAUAAUACAAUCAUUUAAUUUACUCGGUGUUGGUAAGAGAUGCGGAUUGGAACAAGAAUACUACACAGGCCGAUGAGAAUAAAUUUUGAGGCCACGAUUCCCGUACGACCCUCCGAGUCGGGCCCGAAAUAAUGAGGCGAUGAUGAUAAACAUCGGGGAAUAAAAGAUGAGGACACGAUGAACCAAUAAUACCUAUAGAGGGCUACAUGAUUGGCCACCAGAGUGGAUAGCAAGGCGGUUCCCGUUCUCAUGUCUAGACGGAUAUCGGAAAACACAUAUCUGAGCCUCCUAUAUUAUUUUUAAAACUAUUUUUUUCCCAAAAACAUUUUUUGCAAACAAUCUUUCAAAAACAAAAACAUUUUUUCAAAUCAUUUUCAAGAGCAAUUUUUCAAAAACAUUUUAAAAACAAAAACCAUUUCAAAACAUGUCACUUUAUUAUCAUAUCUUUUACGUUAUAUUAUUUAGCUAACAAUUUCACUUCCCUUGUCUUGUGAGGUACUAUUAUACGAAAGCGCUUCCGGAAGGCGACAUUUGCAGAAAGAUCGAAGACAAAUACCUCAUUGAUCCCCGCUUAGUACUUUUCGUUCUUGGAUUUACCCAAAACGUAAAGUAUAGUAAAGUUGUAGAUAGAUGUGUUUGCUUGCUUGCUUUAAUAUUAUCUAUUUGCUGACCACUUAGGAAAUUUCAUCUAGUUAAUAAUUGGUAAUUCAUAAUAUUGUAUGUUACGCGAGUUCAUAAAAUUACUCAUGUAUGCUAGGUUGUUGAAUACAUUCAUAAUGUGAUUGAUAUGCAUCCAACUAGUUAAAUCAGAUAUACAUAAAAUAAAAACAUGUCAUCUUUCAAAAAAUAAAAUAGAUAAUUUUGUCUUUAUCUUACAAUUGUAUGAGCACCUUUUUGAAUCAUUUUAUACGUAAAUUGUUCUUUAAUUGACAAAUCUUAAGUAGGGAAUUAUAGUUGGACUAUCAUACCGUUCUUUGAGAAACUUAGGCCUUGUAGUAAUUCGGGUUUGGUUCACAUAAUUGUGUUCCGAGACCAUGACUCUAAAAAUAGUAUUUAGUUACUCAUAGAAUAAUAAUUCAUUGUUAGCACACAUAUUUUUCUUGUAUUGAUACAAUAAUUGUUUCUGUCAUAAGUAUUUUGAUACAUCUUUUCCAUACCAUAUUCAUUUUGUAACAACCUGAACGAUCCUUUUGAGCUCUAGCGUGUCGUUCGGUGGUUUGAGGCCUUGAGUAGCUUUACUUCAGGUAUUAUGACUUGUACAUGUGGUCGGAAUUGAAUUUCGGGAAGUUCAGAAUUGAUUCGGAAAGAAAAUUCUAAAUUCUGAUGCUUUUAAGUUGGAAAAAUUGACUAAGGUUUGACUUUUGAGUAAACGACCUCAGAAUCAGGAUUUGAAGAUUACAAUAGGUUCGUAUGAUGAUUUCAGACUUGGGCAUGUGUUCAGGUUGAGUAUCGGGUGGUUCGGGAGCAUUUCAGCGCUUAUUAUGGAAAGUUGGCAUUUUGAAGGUUUUUGAAUUUCUUAAGUUUAGUUUGAAGUGGAUUUAAACGUUAUCAAUGUCCGUUUGGAGUUCCGAGCCUUGGAAUAUAUUUGUAUCAUGAUUUGUGACUUGGCAUAAUUCCAGGAUGUUUAAGUGUAAUUCGGACGCGUUCGGCAAAGUUUGAAGGUUGGAAAGUUGAAAGAAAGGUUUUGGCCGUCAAUUUAUAACUUUGAUGUUGUUUGGUGUGAUUUGAGGCCUCGAGCAGGUACGUGUAGUGUUAUGUAACUAGUUGGUACGUUUGGAUGGUGUCCAGGGGGCCUUGGGUUUGAAACAGAUUGAAAUUGGAUUGAAAUUUGGAUUUGAGGAAAUGCUGGAAACUACUGAAAUCUUGUGUCAUCACACCUGCGGUGGUUUGGUCGCAGGUGCGGACACGCAUGCACGAUGAAGGUCAUCUUAGAAGCGGAGAAAGUCGGCCAGAGGAAGGAGCGCUGGUGCGGAGUUUUGGGCCGCAUCUGCACAAGCAUAGAAGCGAAACGCUGGGUGCAGAAGCUGGUUAAGGUGCAGGAGCGGAAGAAGCUCGCACCUGCAAUGUCGCAGAAGCAGGGAAUGUUUCCGCAGGUGCGAGGCUUCGCAUUGGGUGAUUUUCUGCAGAAGCGGAGGAGUGGUCGCAAAAGCGACGCCGCAAGUGCAAGAUUUCGGCUGGGUAGAAGGGUUCUUUAAAUCGAGACAUAGCUCUCAUUUCUCUCAUUUUCCACUUGGAUGGCUGAAUUUGGGUAGUUAUUUUGAGUAGGUUUUCAUCAUGCAACACAAGGUAAGUAAUUUCCCACUUGUUGUAAGUUAAUUUCAUAGAUUCUAUAUGAUUUAAACAUAUAGUAAUUGUGGGAUUUUUGAAGAAACCUAGAAAUUAGUAAUUUUGGAUUUUGACCACGGUUUUGGAAAUGGAAUUAGGAAUAUAUUAUAUAUUUGAGUUCGUCGUGUUAUGGGUAAUGAUUAUCUUCGAAAAUUUUCGGAAUCCGGGCACGUGGGCCUGAGGGUUGACUUUAUCGACUUUUCGAGCGGAGUUGAUAAUUGUUAUAAAUUGAUUAAUUAUGGGUAAUAGAGUAUAUAUUUAUAGAUUUGCACAUUGUUUGACUAGUUUUGGAGAGACAAGCAUCAGUUUGAGAUUUUAGAGUGGUGUUGGAGCCGACUAUGGAACUUCAGAGUGAGGUAAGUCUCCUGUCUAACUCUGUGAGGGGGAAACUUCCCCUAGUUAUAUAUUUGUUAUGUGCUACUUGUUGCGGGGGCUACCUAUGCACGAGGUGACAAGAGUCCGUGCAUAGCUAGAUUCAUGUUAUGUCUGGGUAGACUUAGGUUCCCGCCAUGCUAUAACUGUACUAUUUGAGUUGUCCCUUGCAUAUUAAAUUCCUUUAUUUUUCAUUACGACUUGAGAUUAGAUUUGCGUAGAGUGAUAGACUUGCUAUUGUAGAGAUUUGAAGGGCUUCAUGAUUAGCUGCGGAAUAGUUGUACUCCUCUUACGAAUUUCUCCCAUGCUAUGCGAUUUUAUCGAAAAGUUUUCCUUAAAAUUUAUAACUCACACAUUUAUUUGUGAAUAGGGUCAAGGACCCAUCAAAGCUUCUUAAUCUAAUGGGAUCGGGCCGUUCGUCUUGGCAGGAUUUUGUACCACACUCUCAUGGGAGCAGGCUGUUCGCCUCGACAGUAUAAUAGAUACAUCUAUGGUUCAUGUCAUUCGACCCUCGACAGUGCACACAAUAUGAUGGGAUCGGGCCGUACGCCUCGACAUUUCUAUAAAAUACUCUUACGGAAUCGUGCGUAAUAUUUGACAAGAAACCACUGUAUCUGCGAGUUUUCUUGAUUUGGAGGAUUAUACCACGUAUUUAUACUUGUUUAUUUUGUUUAUUUACUCUGCCUCACAUCUGCUUACUUCUUAUUGUACGUGAUUUAUCUGACCACUAGUAAGUGUCGAUGUCGACCCCUUGUCACUACUUCUCUGGGGUUAGGCUAGAUACUUACUGGGUACGCGUUGAUUUACGUACUCAUGCUGCAUUUGCUGCACCUAUUGUGGAGGUACAUAUAUAUCUGGUGGUCUUUUGGGAGCAAAGGCGCAGCCAUUGUGGGGAUUUUACCGUGAGCUGCAUUCCAUGUUAUGAUCCGUAGCAUGCAGAAUCUCCAUCUGGGUUAUUUAUAUUCUCCUGUCUAAUUUUUAUUCCAAACAGAUGUUGUAUUUUAUUAUAUUUCCUAGUUGAUGCUCACGCACUUGUGACACCGGGUUGUGGUGGCUUCUUCUGGGUGAUUAGUAUGGUAGUGCACAUAAUUAUUAUCAUUUUACCCUGUAAAUUCUAUUUUAUACUAUUUAAUUAAUGAAAAUUAUGAUUUCCAAAUACUAAAAUGAGUAAAUAAGUUGAUCGGUCAUCGUUGGCUUGCCUGACGGCGGUGUUAGGCGCCAUCAUGGCCUUUAGUGGAUUUUGGGUCAUGACAGCUUAGUAUCAGAGCGUUAAGUUCACUUGGGUCUCACGAUUCAUGAGCAAUUCUAGUAGAGUCUUGUGGAUCGGUACAGAGACGUCUGUACUUAUCUUCGAGAGGCUGCUGGGCUGUUAGGAGCACUUCCCUUCUUGAUUCCUUGUCGUGCGGUUUGAUUUCCAUUGAAGCUUAUUCCUUCGUUCCCUUCUUACUCAUUCUAAUAUGAUGUUAAGCGCUCGUAGCAAUUGGGCAACGAGGAGUUGUAGUGGUACUAUAGAGCGGUCUAUUAUCAUCUUCUUAUGGAAGGGUGUUCUGUCAUCUCAGCCUGGUAUCAGUAUUGCUUAUGGUUUUGAGAUUGUGCACUGAUUGUUAUGAUGUUCGUGCGUUGUUAUCGUGCAGUGUUGAUGUAAGUGGUAGGGUGCUUAUUUAUGGAUCGCGGUAGUGAAUGACUCGAAAGUAGGAAUCCUUAGUUCAUGGUUUAGAGGUUCUGCAUCUAAUUCUAGUGAAGGAAGGGCAAUUGGACUAUGGAUGUUCAGGUUUUGGUUGAUGGAGUAACGAGACUUGAUAUUUUCGAGCGUGGUGGAAUUUUCAUUUGUGAUGUGGUGUAGUCGUCCUUGUUGAAUGCAUUAAGGUUCACCGGUGUUAGGGUCUUCUUCAAUUUGCAUUCGGGACAGGGUGUUGUAAAGUGGUGCCUGAGAAGCGGUUAUCAGAAAUGGCGGUGUGUAGCGGUUUCGGAAAUCAAAUUGGUGUUUCUAAUGUUGAUUGCUCGGGAAAGAUGAUCUUCGAGGAGGCUUAGAGUUGGUAGCAAUUUUUUGGUUCAAGUGCUACAGGUAUGGAUUUUGAUUUGAGGCAGCAAUUGGGCAGCGAAGAAUGAGGAAGGACAUGUGGGAGGUGUCUUGCGGUGGUUGAAAUACUAGCAGGUCAAAGUAUGAAUAGCUGAAGUGAAGGAGUUGCUUAAAGGAGGUGGUUUAACUGAAGUGGGAGUGGCAGAGUAACAUAAGGAUUCUGUGGCAGGAAAGAUACUUGCCCUGAGAAAGUUUAGGGCGAUAUGGGGAAUCGUGAUGGAAGGUGAUUUGGUCUAUCGAUUUUAUUUGGGAUGGUGGCUAUUGUACCAAGGGAGAUACAGUAUGGCAUAAAGAAUUGUGCUUGAAAUGAAGAGGGGUGUGAAGACUUGAUUAUCGCUUUUGGAUGCAACAUGACUCCGAGUUUGGAAUGUAUUGUUAGAUUUUCAGUUGAUGUCGAUGCGGAGUGAACAUAUUUCUACAGCUGGUGGACGAGCAUAGGCUCAGGAGGGUUUACUAGAUUCGUGGUAGUUGUACCCAAUGCAGCGUCGUUGGAAGAUGUCGGUAUGGAAUUUCAACAGGUGGGUUAUCUCUUGUGAACAGGUUAGCGAUUGCGUGAGGUUGAGAACUUUCUACGAAGAAUUCUACUUACUACCCAGUAGGAGGUCGAGUACGCGAUUGUGGAUGAUAAUUCGGGAUACUUUAUAAAGCGUCUAACAAGAGAUUUCGAGAGGAUUGGCGAGUUAAUGGUGUGAGAUCAUGGUAAUAGAGAAAGAGGAAUCCUUGUGGGCUCUACAUUAUGUGAUGGUAGCUUAAAGCUAAGUCGGGGAGCCCACCGUCUAUGAUUGGAUCGCGUGGUUGUCUGCUUGUGUGGUUUCUAGUUAUCCGGGCAUUGGUGGAUUAUUUAUGACUAAGAGAAGAAAACAUCAGGGGUAAUUCGAGCAAAGAACUUGUUAAAUGUGUGCUAUAUUUCGCCUUAUCGAUUCAUGUGUAGGUUUUGGGAAGACUCAUAGUUUAUGCUUCUUGUGGAUGUAAUGUACAAGGAAAAGAAUUAAACCGGUUGCUUCUUUGAUAGGGUGUUCAUUUGCUAGCAGAGCGUUGGAGUUUGGUUAUAUUCGGGACCCGGUCAGAGUGGGUGAUUCUAAAAAACGGUCCUAGUGGGUUCAAGAAUUAAAGUGCAGUGCCUAAGGAUUUCAGAUCCGUUGUGCGGUAAAGGAUCGAGUUUUUGCAAUGGAUUAUGAAGGGGGGCUUGGAGUGUUCUAUGUUAUCAUCGAGUCUGCAGUACAGUAUAUUAGGAAAGGGAGAAAUAGCUUUGGAUUCGCGAAAGGUCUUGCAGAUGGGUGUACCAAUUAGAGAUGCUGUUGUGCGCAUGAGGAGGGUAUGAGAUGGUUCAUGAGUAUUGAGACGAUGUGGUCUUGUGAUUCGGGUCACUCGGGAUGAGUUAAGAUUUAGUUCGUUAUGUUUUGAAUGGAGCUAUUAUUAUUAUUAUUAUUAUUAUUAUUAUUAUUAUUAUUAUUAUUAUUAUUAUUAUUAUUAUUAUUAUUAUUAUUUCUAAGGCAAAUCCAGAGUAAAUUGAAAGAAGUGAGGUCAACUAGUAAUGGUUUGAAUCAGCAUGAUUGUGGCAAUGAUCAGUUACUUCGGUGUGUUAAGUUAUACAGGUGAUUUGUGGUUAUACGUGCGGGCUUGACAGUCCCCGUAAUUUGAUUGAUUUGGAGGUAUUUGAUUAUAAUGGCCUGUUAUGUGUAGAUGGAUCCCAGAAGAGUUAUGGUGGUUUAGACUACAACUUGAGGUUUGUAUUUUUCGCAGUUAUGGAAAUUGGAGGUUGAGGAUCAAGGUUACGGUUCAGUUUGAUGAGAAUGUCUCGAGCUCGGAGGAGCGGGGGAAAGGAUCCAGAAGUUCAGAGUAAGCUAUCAUCAUCUUUAGUGUCACCUUAGAACGGUGCCCUGUGUAAGAGGCUUUAUGUAUUGAAUUGCGGACUCUUGGUUGGCUUUAUAGAAUUAGUACGGUUGGUGGUGUGGAGGUGCAAACUUUGCUACUUGGUGCGAAAGGUCGUGGGAGUGUAUCCCACGGGGAAAUAUGUAUAGGUGUGACAUGAUAGUCACUUGAUUGUUAAUGUCACGACCCAAGCCGAUGGGCCGCGACGGGCACCCGGUGCCUUACCUAACCGAGCACCAACGUAACAUAUCUUUCUUAUCAUACUAUCAUGGGUAAAUGGGCCAGAAGUGACGUCAUGAGAUUACCAGAAUAAAACAUAUGGGAAUACUAGACAUAGGAUGACCCAACAUGAGAUAGAAACUUAUACAUGUGACAUACAGGCCUAUAAGACCGACAUGAUUAUUUGUACACUCAAAACAUAGGCCGACAAGGCCAUACAAUCAUAUAUAUACAUGACAUAUGUCUACAAGCCUCUAAGAGUACAUAAACAUCAUAAAGGUUGGGAUAGGGCCCCGCCAUACUAAUCAAUACAUGUCCAAAUCAUACUAACAAAAUAGGCAACUCCGGAGCAAGUGGAGUGCACCAACACCUUCCGCUGAGAUGAUAGCCUACUAGGUGGACUCUCAACCUAUCUAUCGGGAAAUGCGAGCAUGAAAUGCAGCGUCCCCAGGCAAAAGGGACAUCAGUACAAAUAAAGUACCGAGUAUGUAAGGCAUGAAAGCAGUAUAUAAAAGGCAUGGAGUAAAGAAUUCAACCUGGAAGUCUGAAUAGCUCUGUGAAUCAUGAAACAUUUAUAAUGUCAUGCAUAUGCAUAUAAAUGCCACAUCAUGCACAGGUAUGUGCGUACAUAACAUCAUUAAGCCUCUGAGGGCAUCCCAUAAUAUCAUCUCGGGCCUCUUUGGGCGAAAUCAUCAACGUAGACCAGCUAAUCAGGUAGUGGUGCGUAUAUAAUGCGGUAACCUUUUCCCAUACCCUAUAUACAUAUAAUAUAUGCGUAUAUAACGCCAUCUGGUCAUGGGUCAAUGUACAUGUAUAAAUGAAUGCAAUGCAUAAUGAAGUAAGUCAAUAUGAUCUCUCGGAAUGUCAUAAGAUCAAUAUGCCUUCAGAUAAACUUUAUCCACUUACGUAUUUUUUAGACCCAUGAACAGACGAUAUAAUAAUAGGACACAUGAGGAAUCAAGAACAUAGUCACCCCUAGUACUUCUAAGAGUAGAGUCAUUUGUGAAAGUUCCGCGUUUGCUCAUUUUGUUUGUAUCAUAUGGAUCAUGACAAAAGGAAAGAAGGGAUAGCCUUAACAUACCUUAACUCCAUUGGGUCCGUAAUACCUUCCAAGCAAUUGGUCAAACAACUCUACUCAAUCUACCAUAGCAUAAAGAGAUUCAAAAUCAGUGUUGAGUAGAGGCUAAGUCCGCAACUUAAACUAGUAGCUCGCUUAUGUAAAUUUGGGCAGCAUCUCCCCUGUAACAAGAGCCUCCUCCAAUACCAUAUACCAACAACAAUUACUGGAGCAAUCCAGCAAUACAUAAUUAUCAAUAACAAGACACCAUAUACCGAAGUCAUUCAUCAAUGAUAAUGAAGUCAUUCAUCAAUGAUUCUAGCCUUAUACCAUAUAUUUAUAACGAAGAAAAUAAUCCACAACUCCAACUAUCCUCAAUUAGCAAUUUUAUUCACUAGUUCAUGUCUAGCCCAUCCAUUUAACUUAAUCAACAUCAAGAUAACCUUAAGCACAUUCAAGAAAACAAUAUAAUUACCUCCUAGAGUGGAUUCAAGUCGAAAUCCAUGUUAUAUUUAGGUUACAACAGCCCAACACACCCCAAUCACUUCAUACCCAAAACGAUAACUAUAGUAGUGUCAAACACCCCGAAAAUGUUACAAAGAACGACUAAUCCACCAUUUCGCCAUUAUGUGGUGUUUCUCCACACAAUUUCUCCUCCAAAAGUCCAUUAGACAAUUGCAAAAUAGAUAGCCCAAAAACAUAACGAAGCAGCCCAUAAAAUAGUCCACUACAAGUAGAAUAACUAGAACUCGCGGCUUUCGAUUACCGUCCCGCGAGUUCUAACUAUUAGGAAAAGAAUUUAUCAACCUUCCUUGAUAUUUAAAAUCUUAAAUACAGAAAGUAUGAAUUUUAUUAACUAUUAAAUACAUUCCAAAACUCAAACUACAAAGAAAAAGAGAGGCGAUAUAGCGAUACUUAUGUCGUAGGGAUCGUUCUAGUGUUAUCGCUUCUUAAUUUUGUACACGGGAUAUUAAUCUUAUUUGAAACCCUUGUAGAGAGCUUAAGGGUAAGUUUAUGGGUCUUAUUUGGUCGUGGUUUCCGGAAAAAAUGAAGAAAGAGAUGACAUAAGAGAUAUAAAUAUCCAUUUUGUUGAAAAGUCAAAAAUGUGCUACUUGGCACCCUAGUAUUGGCCCUUCUUCCAACGCUUAUAUCUUUUUAUUCGGAUGUAGGAUGAACAAACGGUUAAAAUUAUUGGAAACUAAAUUCCAAGACCUUCAAUUUGGUAUAUAAUAUGUCCCAAAAAUACCUCAUAUAACACACGAAAGGUAUUGCUCAAAAAGCUUUAGUGACCCACCUACUUGUCACCUAUGCAGUCUGCGCAGUCUCGCAAAAUGACAAAUAUCUCUCUACUCUGAUGUCGUAUCGACAAAUGGUUUAAUGAGUUAGAAACUAGACUCAUAGAUUUGCAAUUUGAUAUAUGGAUCAUCUUGUAAUUCCAAGUAUAUUAGGAGAAACACUCUGCUACAUUUGACCUAAUAUUCAGCACAUUAUGAAUGUAACUUGUGAUGACCUUUGCCAACUUUUGUGCCAAAACUCGCUUGACUUCAAAAUUUAAUAUAUGACUAUCAUACGACUAAAAUAAAUCAUAACAUAACCUCUUUAUCAUGUUCAUAACCCUAGUAUCAUGCCAAAAGUACAUAUUAUAACAUUCCCAACUUGUCGACAUUGAAACUUAUUUUUUUUCAAUUUGCUUAGCUCCUAAGACUUUCAACCCUCUUGGUAGUUGUUAUCCAUAAUCUUAAAGAUUUGUAACCUCCAAGGUAACAUGAUUAACUUACUUUAUAUAUUUCAAAGAUAAUCUCAUUUUUGAGCUUACAUCAACUGACUUAUGAUGUACUCUCACAUACGAAAAUAUGGGGUAUAACAGUUAAGGUUUGAAACCAAUUAUGGAGAUUUUGGUAAUAUCGCUAAUGUGAGGGUUUAUGCCUGAGAGGCGCUCUAUUCCUUGGGUUGUGGACUGUGUGAUUUGUUUUGGAUUUGAUGGUUGUUUUAGUGUGUCAUGGAAAAGGUUAUUGUGGAUCCUUGAAAGGUUAUUAGCCCAGUAUGGUAUGAUCAUAAUCGACUUGAGGUCCGUUGAUGGGUCUAAUGUGAAUAUGUGCUCUACAUCAGGCCGGAUGUGUUCAUUCAGCAUAGCGUUGCUUAUGGAGGAGUCUUCGAACAUUGGAUGUUAUUCACGUCGUUAGUUAUUCCAUGUAAUACACUAUUAUGUCAUGUGGGUUAUGAGACGACUUGAUUAUCCGCACAUGUGUUGAGGUCUUUGUAGCUUGUGGUAUUAUAUAAGCAGGAUGGCUCUCGAGAUGUAGGUUAUUUAUCGCACCUUAGUUGUGCUUGGGUUUUGUAGUGUAUGGCGAUAUCUGUCUCCCCAAGUUUCUAUUUUUUGCACUCGACGUGCUUGUGGUCGAUAUUCAGUAUUUCAUAGGUAUGAGAAUUAUGGCUUGAUGGGUAUUCCCUUAUUUAUUGUUAUGUGUAGAUCGGGUGGCACGUUGCCACGGGUAUGUUGUUUGGAUUGGGUUGCACGCCGCAACGAUAUCAUGUAUGGAUUGGGUUACACGCUGCAACAGUGAGAUGUUGAGUACGGUUCCUUAUAUCUAUUCUUGUUUAUUUUGUUUCUCAUUCUAUGAGAAGGGUUCAUAGUGUCUGAUCGACGGUCGUAUUCGUUACGCGGGCUGGGUAGGUCCUUUUCAGAGUUCGUUUUUCCUUAUGUAUCGUAUUCGAGUUUGUAGCUUAUUGGCGCAUUGUUGGCGUCAUAUGAGAUUUGUUUUGAUAGUGUUUGAGAUGGCUUAUUGCGUGAACAACUUGUACUGGGUGAGACGAGAUUAUUGGACCUAGAAUCAAUGCGAUCGGAGUUAUGUAGGGUAUAUUAAGGAGCAAAUAUCGUUAUUCAGUUCAGAAUGAGGUAAUGGUCCUUGUCGGGAGGAUAGAUCCCGUGAUUUAUUGUUUUGGCAGGUGGUUAUGAGUUUCUACACAUCUCUUUCGUCGUGGAAGUAUUACGAGAGUUGGAACAUGGCUUAUAUGUGUUAUGAGGCGUAUUACGGGCAUCGGAUUUGUGCAAUUACAUCUAUUGUGGUCGGAGGAUGUAUGGGCAUGCGAAUUAUGAGGUGCAUGGUGUGAUUUCAUCAAAAGUGCACGAUCAUGUUUUGGUUCAGUGUGUAGUGAUUGAUGCGGUGAUUGUAUGUUAGAAUCGGGUCUCUGAUGAAUUCCAGAUGUUGGAAUUUGGUACUUAGGCUUGUUAGCCAAGGUUAUAGGGUGGAUCUUCAGUCUGGCUCGAGAUAAUAUGCUCACAUGGCUUGUGGUGGCACGGGUAGGUGUGCGAGGUGUUAAACAAUGAUUUUGGACAACUCCGGAAUAGUUCUUGGCACGUUCGAGGACGAACGCAUGUUUAAGUGGAGGAGAAAGUAACGACCCGACUAGUUAUUUUGAGCUCUAGCGCGUCGUUUGAUGGUUUGAGGCCUUGAGUAGCUUCACUUCAGGUAUUAUGACUUGUACGUGUGGUCGGAAUUGAAUUUCGGGAAGUUCGGAAUUGAUUCGGAAAGAAAAUUCUAAAUUCAGAAGCUUUAAGUUGAAAAAAUUGACUAAGGUUUGACUUUUGAGUAACGACCUCAGAAUCGGGAUUCGAAGGUUCCAAUAGGUUUGUAUGAUGAUUUCGGACCUGGGCGUGUGUUCGAGUUGAGUAUCGAGUGCUCCGGGAGCAUUUCAGCGCUUAUUAUGGAAAGUUGGCAUUUUCAAGGUUUUAGAAUUUCAUAAGUUUGGUUUGAAGUAGAUUUUGAUGUUAUCGAUGUCCGUUUGGAGUUCUGGGCCUUAGAAUAGGUUCAUAUCGUGAUUUGUGACUUGCACGUAAAGUUUGGCGUCAUUCCGGGACGUUUAAGUGUAAUUCGAACACGUUCGGCAAAGUUUGAAGGUUAAAAAGUUGAAAGAAAGGUUUUGGCCGUCGAUUUGUAAUUUUGAUAUUGUUUGGUGUGAUUUGAGGACUCAUGCAGGUCCGUGUAGUGUUAUCAAACUGGUUGGUACGUUUGGAUGGGGUCCCGGGGGCCUCGGGUUUAAAAUGGAUUGAAACUGGAUUGAAAUUUAGAUUUGAGGAAAUGCUGGAAAUUGCUGAAAUCUGGUGUCAUCGUACCUGCGGUGGUUUGGUCGCAGGUGCGGACACGCAAGCGCAAUGGAGGCCGUCACAAAAGCAGAGAAAGCCGACAAGGGAAGAAGCAUAGGUGCGGAGCUUUGGGCCACAUCUGCGCAAGCGCAGAAGCGAAACACUGGGUGCAGAAGCAUGUUAAGGCGCAUGAGCAGAAGAAGCUCGCACCUGUGAUGUCACAAAAGCAGGGAAUGUUUCCGCAGGUGCAAGGCUUCGCGUUGGGUGAUUUUCCAUAGAAGCGGAGGAGUGGUCGCAAAAGCGACGCCACAGGUGCGGCAUUUUGGCCGCAGGUGCGAGAUUUCGGCUGGGCAGAAGGGUUCUUUAAAUCGAGACUUAGCUCUCAUUUCUCUCAUUUUCCACUUGGAUGGCCGAAUUUGGGGAGCUAUUUUGAGGAGGUUUUUAUCAUGCAACACAAGGUAAGUAAUUUCCCAAUUGUUGUAAGUUAAUUUCAUGGAUUCAAUAUGGAUUUAAACAUGAAAUAUUGUAGUAAUUGAGAGAUUUUUGAAGAAACCUAGAAAUUGAUAAUUUUGAAUUUUGACAACGGUUUUGGAAAUGGAAUUAGGAAUAAAUUAUAUAUUUGAGUUCGUGGUAUUAUGGGUAAUGAUUAUCUUAAAAAAAAUUUCAGAAUCCGGGUACGUGGGCCCGAGGAUUGACUUUAUCGACUUUCAAGCGGAAUUGGGAGUUGUUAAAAAUUAAUUAAUUAUGGGUAAUAGAGUAUAUAUUUAUGGAUUUUCACAUUGUUUGACUAGUUUUGGAGAGAGAGCAACGGUUUGAGGUGUUAAAGUGGCGUUGGAGCCGGUUAUGGAACUUCUGAGCGAGGUAAGUCUCCUGUCUAACUCUGUGUAGGGAAAACUACCCCUAGGUUAUGUAUUUGUUAUGUGCUACUUAUUGCGGGGGCUACGUACGCACGAGGUGACGAGAGUCUAUGCGUAGCUAGAUUCAUGUUAUGUCCGGGUAGACUUAGGUUCCCGCCAAGCUAUAACUGUACUAUUUGAGUUGUCCCUUACCUAUUAAAUUCCUUUAUUUUACAUUACGACUUGAGAUUAGAUUUGCCUAGAGUGAUAGACUUGCUAUUGUAGAGAUUUGACGGGCUUCAUGAUUAGCUGCGGAAUAAUUGUACUCCUGUUACGAAUUUCUCCCGCGCUGUGCGUUUUUAUCGAAACGUUUUCCUUAAAAUUUAUAAUUCACACGUUUAUUUGUGAGCGGAGUCAAGGACCUAUCAAAACUUCUUAAUUUAAUGGGAUUGGGCCGUUUGCCUUGGCAGGAUUUUGUACCACACUCUCAUGGGAGCGGGCCGUUUGCCUCGGCAGUAUAAUAGAUGAAUCUAUGGUUCGUGCCGUUCGACCCUCGACAGUGCACACGGUAUGAUGGGAUCGGGCCGUACGCCUCGGCAUUUCUAUAAAAUACUCUUAAAGAAUCGUGCGUAAUAUUUGACAAGAAACCACUGUAUCUGCGAGUUUUGUUGAUUUGGAUUGUGAUGAUCUAUCUGGUGUGGUCCAGUAUAUAUAUAUGCUCCGGUUGAGGAGGUAACUGCUAAUUGAGAGCUUGAGUUUAUUGUCGAGAGGAGGAUUAUACCACGCAUUUACACUUGUUUAUUUCGUUUAUUUACUCUGCCUCACAUCUGCUUACUUCUUACUGUACAUGAUUUAUCUGACCACUAGUAAGUGUCGAUGUCGACCCCUCGUCACUACUUCUUCGGGGUUAGGCUAGAUACUUACUAGGUACGCGUUGAUUUACGUACUCAUGCUUCACUUGCUGCACCUAUUGUGGAGGUACAUAUAUAUCUGGUGGUCUUUUGGGAGCAAAGGCGCAGCCAUUGUGGGGACUUUACCAUGAGCUGCAUUCCAUGUUACGAUCCGUAGCAUGAAGAAUCUCCAUCUGAGUUAUUUAUAUUCUCUUGUCUACUUUUUAUUCCAGACAGAUGUUGUAUUUUAUUAUAUUUUCUAGUUGAUGCUCAUGCACUUGUGACACCGGAUUUUGGAGGCUUCUUCUGGGUGAUUGGUAUGGUAGUGCACAUAGUUAUUAUCAUUUUACCCUAUAAAUUCUAUUUCAUACAAUUUAAUUAAUGAAAAUUAUGAUUUCCAAAUACUAAAAUGAGUAAAUAAGAUGAUCGAUCACCGUUGGCUUGUCUGACGGCGGUGUUAGGUGCCAUCGCGGCCUUUAGUAGAUUUUGGGUCGUGACACAUUCAUUAUUCAUCAAAUCAAUUCUUUUAGUUCAUCCAUUAUAUAUACUAAGAUUGCUCAAACGUUAUUCUUUUUCACUUUUACCAAUCAUUUAGAGUAAAUUUCUAUUUUUAUAUUUUAGCUUUUCACUUAAAUGGUUAAUCUUGGUGCAUAAAAUAUAUUUUUUCAAAGUAUAUCUUUAAUUAAUAUUCAUUCAGUCAAUUUAGAAAUAUUCCACUUAUCUUUUAUAUAUUCUCUUACAUCUUCAUUUCUUUAGCAUCUUCUUUUACAUGUUCGUCCAUUUUAAAACAAAUUCUUUCAUAUUUUAUUUACUAGAUCUAAAGUGUAAGAUAUAGUGUUCGUAUAUCCUUUAACCUUGUCUUACAUUAUGUCAUAUCCUUCAUUAAACUUUAUACUUUAGUCAAAUUAUAUAUUGUCCCCUUAUUACCUAAUCCAUUCUUUAAAAAUAUUAAAUUCUAUUCUUCACAUCUUUUGCACCAAUUCCAAAAAAAUGAAAGUCAUUUCAUACAUUUUGUUAUUCACCUUUUACUACACAUGCACAUAAAUAUAAACUUAUUUCAUUAUUCAUUUGCCAUAAUUAAUUGUCCUUAGUUAAUUUAUUUUUAUAAUUUUCUUGUAAAUAUUAAUCAACUCUGUUCUUACCCUAUUCAUCACAUUAAAAAAACUAUUCAAAGGUAAUUCUUUUUUCCACUCUCGAUCAAUCAUUUUCUAGACACAUUUUCUUAUAAUAGUUUAUCUUGUUUACAACUGAAUUCUUUCGAGAUUAUUCCUUCAACUCAAAGUUAUUUGGUUAAUUUGUAAAUGCUUUACUUGAUGAUACACUUCACUUAGUCAUUAAAAUUUAACUCUUUUACAUACUUUCUUUAUCCACAUCCUUGCACAUAUUCUGUUACACAUAAAUAUCACUAGUUUUACCAUGUGAUGUUCAUAUUCAAUCAUUCUUCAUUCCAAAUCAUUUUCAUAAUUCUUUGUAAAUAUUAAAUUAAUCAUUCUUUUGAACCUUCCCUCACUUAUUUGAUCGAGUCCAUAGGAACCACAUUUUGUGGAUCUUGAGGGAUGUCUAACACUUUCCCCUCGAGAUAACUUGAACCCUUACUCAGAAUCUCAACAGUUUCGUAGACCAUAAUCAAAUGUACAUUACGUAGUGUAGUAUAGGUGUGCUAGUAUACCUUAAAUACUAGGUGGUGACUCUAAACUUUAAUUAACCAUGUAGAGUACUAUAAGUUGUAGUUUGUUUUGUCUUGUGCAAAAGAAGGUGCAACAACAUGGCGACUCUACUGGGGAUACUUGAGAUUCUAACCACAACGGAUAUGAUUAAUUGCUUGAGGGAUUACAGGUUCUCCAAUACUCCAAUUUCUAUUCUUUAUGUCACAUGAUACGCCGUAUAUUCUUCAAGUUGUAUAUCCUUCGUUUUAAGUUGUUUGCUCUAUUCUUGAAGUUGUAUAUUCUCUGCUUCAAGCGGUAUAUUCUUUGUAAUACAUUUGCUUCAAGUAGUCUAUUCAUUGUCAUGCGCUUCAAAUGGUAUAUUCUUGUUAUGCGUUUCAAGUAGUAAAUUCUUUGUCAUAUGCUUUAAGUGGUGUAUUCUUUGCCAUCCGCUUCAAGCGGCGUACUCUCUGUCAUGCUCAUGUUGUAUAUGCUUCCCACAUAUCUAUGUUGUACAUUCUGUUACAUAUGACUGUGUUGUAUAUUCUAUGUCACACACUUCAAGCUGUAUAUUCUUUGUCAUGCUCAUGUUAUAUAUGCUUUUACACAUGCUAUGUUGUUUAUGCUUUUAGAGAGGCCAAUGUUGUAUAUGCUUUGUCAUAUACUUUGGUGCUGUAUUAUUGAAUUGUAAUCACUUUUCUGUCGACACAUGGUCGUACACAAUCACAUACAAGUCACACGAGGGUUGUCUUUUAACCCCUCCAAACCUUCUUUCAAAACUCCUUAGUUUCAGAUAUUGGCAGACGAGGUUAACUACGUACCAUGCUGCAGUUGUCCUUAACACACGUCCGAGUCUAGGUAAAUCUACUCUUAGAAUUCCUAGGUCACUGUACACACAAUCUUGCAGCUUGCUUUAGCUGAAUUAAUCCUUUCAUCCUUUACUUGCUACAUAUUCUUUGUAUAUUUGUUAUAUAUUAUUUGUCUGCUAUUGUUAUGUAUUCUUUAUCUGUUGCAUGUACAUUAUAUUUGCUAUCCACUAUCGGGUUCUCUUUGUCUGACUAAACUCUGGUUGACUUAUGUUGAACCUUGACUUCUUAAAUACACAUGUCCAUUUCGGUCUUCAUGACCAUUUCCAUAAUCCUACCAUCUUUUUCAAAGAUAUUUCAAUCUAAUUUGGUAUAUCUUCCAGUAAUUUGAUGUAUUCUUCUUAAUCAUACAUCUCACAUUUUCGUUGGCUUCCAUCGUUUGAGACAGAUCCAUGCGCUAUGAUACUGUCUAUCUCUUAUUCAAUGGUUACCAAUCUCCACCCACCCACCCAAGAAUUCUCAUUCAUAAUCACCCACCCAAUAAUCACUCACCUAUGACAACCAUACAAAUCACAUAAUUCCAGUAGUUGGCUCGAACUAUGUUUUGACCUGAUUCUUGCCCUGGCAUGAUACGUAGGCAACCUUACAUAAGGGUUCGAUCUCUCCACUGUUUCAAAUUAAUUUCCUCAGUACGAAACUGGGGCAGUUCUUUUAGAAUAGUGCGAUGAUGCUCUCAACCGAGAAACCUCCGAGAGCGUCAAACAAAUUUCACCCAAAAUCGAAACAUCAAAAUACCAUGCUUACCUUAUUCUGACUCUCACUCGACUUGGAUUCCAACAUACAGGAUGCAAGUCCUUUCUUCAAACAUCUGUCUAUGGAGUCACUGUGUUCAAUCUCUACAAGUUUCAAAAUAAUUUCCUCAGUACUAAAAAUUAGGGCAUUCUUUUGGAACAGUGAAAUGAUGCUCUUGACCCAGGAAUCUCCGAGAGCUUCAACUAAACUUCACUCAAAAUAUUCAAAUCUUAAAAUACCAUACAUGCCUUACCCCAACCCUCGCUCGACUUAAAUCCCAAAAUAUGGGAUGCAAGUCCUUUCUUCAAACAUCUGGCUGUGGAGUCAUGGUGUUCACUCUCACUUCCCAAAUUUCAAGAUUCGGUACAAGUCAACCCAUUUUGUUACAGGGACAAGUUGUUAGUCAGCCUUCGAGAUAAAUCAUGCCCGCACGAUUCAGAUAAACAAAGAAGAACAAGCAAAGCCUCAAGUAAACACGAAUCAAUUUUCCUCCCUCGAACUAAGAAUUUUUAUUUGGACGCAAGAGGGACAACACAAUUUUCGGAACCAUCAUGGAAUGCUGACAUCGCAUUUUCGAUCAUAAUCGGAUACCUAGCUGGUUGCACGGCCUAACUCUGCACCCUCUUAAUGCUAUAACUUCACUUGAGAGGGAUUCUAACAUUUUUCUCUGAGUUUUACAGGUACAUUAUCCCGGACACUUCACGGGAGAUAACAUCUAGUCUCGGACUUGGUGGAACAUCAGUCAGAUAAUCAGGAGAGUAGUAGUUUUACAAUGAAAUUUAUAAUUUUUCAUGACUUGCUGUUCUCACCACUUCUCUAUAUUCAGAUCAUAAUAUCAUUCCCGGUUGUCAACCGGGGACGAUCAUCAAAUAAUUCCCGUGGAUCGCCGAAAGGAGCAUCAUCCUGGGACUGUACGGGAAAUAGCAUCUGACUGAACGGGAAAUAAUCAGGAGAGUGUUAGUUACAAUUCUUGAUUCCAUCAUUUUAUGAUGGCACUACUCUUACUUUAUUUUUAUAUCUAGAUAAUCGCCCCGGCUCAUAGUCGGGGACGAUCACCAAAAGGUUCAUGUGGACAGCUGGAAGGUCGCAACAAAAUAUCCCUGUAGUUAAUUGGGAGACAACCUUAAAAAUUGUAUCGCAAAAAGUCCGGGGAAUUAAGGCAACUGUUUGAAGGAGCAGCUGGGGCACAUCUUCUUGAGGGAGACACUCUUCAACUCCAGACAUACCACAUCCAAUCAUGGGUUCAACGAGGCAUCGCUCCGAGUUUGUCUAUACCUUUGCAUUUAAUACAUAUCUUUGAUGCAAUUAAUAUAGUUAGUUGUAAUGCCUUGAAGUAGGAAAGUAAAACAAGUGUUGAAAAUCAUACAUCUCAUACUCUCCAACCUUCACGAACAACGCGUACCCGAUUCUUAACCAUGGUCAAGAUACGUAGACAACCCAUCAUGGGUCCGGUCUUUCUCGUCCUUAAUUGGACGAGUUGGUCAAGUUUGGCUACUUGGGUCACAGCUGACCGAAUAUCCUUGCGAAAGGGUCAUCUUUGAAAAAAUAUAAGAUGUAUAUAUCUUCCCUGUUACUUCGAAGUCUUUAUGUAGACAUCAAAGGAAAAUCAAAAUCCAAAAAUAUUUUUUUGCAUAAUUCCUCCUUGAGGAAAUUCAAAAAAAUCUGAAACAUCUUUCUCUAUCCCUAAUCUUCACGAACUACGCGUGCCUGAUUCUUGACCUCGUGUCAAGAUACGUACGAAACCUAUAAUGGGUCCGGGUUUUCUCGUCCUUAACCAAACGAAUCGAUCAAGUCUGGCCACUUGGGUCACGGUUGACAAGAAAUCCUUACAAAAGGAUCAUCUCCAAAAAAUAAAAAAAAAAUAAAAAUAUAUAUACCUUCCUCUGUUUCUUCUCCAGAAGUCUCUCCGUGAGACAACAAAAUCAAAAUCCGAAAAAUAUCAUCCUCUUUUCUUGAGAAAAUUCAAAAUCCAAAAUAUCUCCCAUUUAUCUCUAACCUUCUCGAACUACGCCUGACCAGAUUCUCGUUUCGAUGAGAUACGUAGGCAACCUUCGGGUUCGGUCUUAUUUUUCAAAAAAAUCAAAAACAAAUCAUCAAUCAAGGACCCUUCACGGGUUCAAUAUUAUUUUCAAAAAUAAAAAAUUAUCAAUCAAGGACCCUCCCCGGGUUCAAUCUCAUUUUUGAAAAAAUCAGAAAAUGCUCUCAUUGUGCAAAGGUUUCAAUUCCGAUCACUCCCAUCGUGCGGAGAUUUACUUUCUUAUCCCUCCCAUUGUGUGAAAAUUUUACUUUCCUGUCAGUGCUCCUAAACGAAAUAGUACCCAGCCCUGUACAAGCAAUGCUCCUAUACAGAACGGUACACAGCCCAUCAUUUUACUUUUCUGUCAAUGCUCCUAAAUGGAACGGUACCCAGCCCCGUACUAACAAUGCUCCUAUAUGGAAUGGUACACAACCCGUCAUUUUACUUUUCUGUCAAUGCUCCAAAAUAGAACGGUACCCAGCCUCGUACUAACGAUGCUCCUAUAAGGAAUGGUACACAGCCCGUCAUUUUACUUUCCUGUCAGCGAUCCUAAACGAAACAGUACCUAGCCCCAUACUAACAAUGCUCCUAUAUGGAAUGAUACACAACCUCUCAUUUUACUUUUCUGUCAACGCUCCUAAACAGAACGGUACACACCCCCAUACUAACAAUGCUCCUAUACGGAAUGGUACACAAUCCGUUAUUUUACUUUCCUGUCCAUGCUCCUAUACGAAACAGUAACUACAAAGCCCGUUUAACAUUCAAUGCUCCGAUAUCGCAUCCGAACGGUAACAAAGCCCGUCUAACAUUCAAUGCUCCGAUAGCGCUUCGGAACGGUGACCACAAAGCCCGUUUUACAUUCAAUUCUCUUUAUCAAAAAAUCGCAAAAAUUGAUUAAGUGAAAAUUUUAAAAAAAUGAAAUGAAAUUCUAUAAAACAAUAUUUUCUUUCCACCCUCCCUGAACUACGCUUGAGCUGAUUCUCAUUUCAAUGAGAUACGUAGGCAACCUUCGGGUUCGGUCUCAUUUAUCAAAAAUAAAAUCACAAAAAAUUGAUUAAGUCUAAAAUUGAAAAAAUAAAAAGAGGAUCAACUUUGGAUAAACCAUAGACUCUUAUGGUGCCUCUAAAUUAUACCUUAGUGAUGCUUGAAAAUCUCGUGCUUAUAGUUAGGGUAAAAACAAAGCCGACCUCAUCAUUUCAUAUUGUAUUGCAUUGUAGAUCUAUAACUUGGCCCGAAUGUCUCUUGAGGCAAAAUCCUGAGUAACGCUUGGUUUGGGAGAGGAUUGUAGGCCUUCUUUGACCUAUUUGAGCCUUUCUAGCCUACCAAAUCACAUCAAUCCCUAGCAUUCCCCCUUUGAGCUUUAAGCCUUUUUCUUCAACAACCACAUCUUAGCCUAUACCCUUUUCUACUUAAGAGAACUACCCCUCUCUUGGCCCAACCUCCCUGCGCGCACUAAAAACAUGUAACUUCGGAUGAAGACCAAAGUGAAGGUAACAAGUAUGAAAAGGCAAAAGAUGCAAAGUCCAAGACAAUUAGAGACAUGACUUCAGGAAAAGAAGGCAGAAACUUCACCAUUCAAAAUGAGGAUCCAACAAGAAGGAGAAAACUUCCACAAAUUCAAAGAAAAAAAGGAGAAAAAGGGAAAAACUCUACAAAUUCAAAAAUGAGGAACCCCGACGAAAAACAAAGAAGGGAAAAACUCUUGCAAAGCAGGAGAAACCUCAAAACAAAAGAAAACAAACCUCCAAAAAUGGAAGAAGAACCUCUUAUAAGUUCAAAAGAAGUCAAAGCAAAGAAAGGGUCAUCGAGCUAAACAAGAUCAAGCGCCAAAGCAUGGUUUGAACUCCAAAGACACGGAUGCAGUGCGGUGCUUAUGGAGGAAUUAGUCAGUUUCAACCCAAAUGAAUAUCCUACCCGACCCUAAGCCUACAUUACAAGCCAAUGAUAAAGCCCUACAUGAUCUUAUUCUAAGUGUUCUCACAUUAGUGAAUACUCACAUAAAGGUCAAGCAUAUGGUAUCUCAAUUGCAUGUAUUGAACAUCUUUUUGAGUGUGAGUGUACUUCUCAAAAUGUCCUAAAAGUCAAAGUACAAAAAGAUACUUCAAAUACGUGUGCAAGUUAGGACUUUCUUUGUAGUUAGGCACUUGAAACAUGAGUUAGGCAGAAUUGAAAACCUUUGACUAAAGCAAGUCGAACAAAUCUUGUCGAUACUUAGGUAUGCCUGAGGUACCGCUCGAAUCUAUAGGAAUUACCCAUAAGCUGAUCUCGGUUCUCUGAAAAGUAUAUGGUAGAAAUUCUUAUGCACAAAACUAAUUGUUGGUACCAACCAACGUCAAGUAAAAAAAGAGAUGAUGAUUGAUCAAUAAAUCACAGUCUUUCUCUACUCUUCAAAUUUUCAAAUAUUCUCUACAAAAAGCUACAAAAACAACGGAAAAUACAGAAAAAGAGUCAAAUUUUGUUGACAGUAGAGUUAGAUCUUGUUGUAAUAGAACUACGUCCGAUCUGACUUCCCACGGGGGAUACGUAGGCAACCCACGUAGGGUCCAGUCCCACUCUUGUAAUAUAAAACCAAAUUUUUUUUCUUUAUAUUCUGAACUACGUCGCGACUUGAUUUCCUUUGGUAGGAAUACAUAGGCAAUCCACAUAAUAUUUAGUCAUCUUUUGCAAUCGAACUACGUUUUGGCCUGAUUCCAUUGGGAUACAUAGGCAGUUUUAGUCAGACCCAUCCAUAUUAUUUCAAAAUUCUAUCAUUUUGCGUUUAUUGCUUACAUGAUUCAAUAAUAACAUAACCCUCUUCAUCAAUUUCUUACAUAAAAAAAAUAGUUUCUUGCAUUUCCAGGCGCCCUCCUGAACAAUGAGCAUUUCAUUUCAAAGGCAAACUUUUCCAGGCGCCCUCCUAAACAAUGAGCAUUUCCUUUCAAAACCAAAUUUCCUGGCGCCCUCCUGAACAAUGGGCAUUUCAUUUCAAAGUCAAUCUUCCAAGCGCCCUCCUGAACAAUGGGCAUUUCAUUUCAUGUUCAAUUUUACAUGCGCCCACCUUCUAAUGUGGAUAUUUUAGACUUAAACGCUCUGAUAUCAUUUUGAACCGGUUCACGAUUCGAAUUUCUUUAAAAAAAAAAACUAAAGUGCUCUGAUCACUUCGAACCGGUACACAGUCCGGAUUUCUUUCAAAAAAUCAAAGUGCUCUGAUCACUUCGGACCAGUAUCUAACACGAAUCCCUUUUGAAUUAGAGUUCCAACUUGGGACACUAUUUCAUUCAAAAAAUCACAAAUCCAUCUUCUCAAUCCAAAUAGAAGCAUAAUCCAUACAUCGUCAACUCUCCUAAUCAAAGACACGACACAACGUGGAAUUAUCUUCUGGCAAAUAAACCGGGGCAGAUUUUGAGGACGGUCAUCAAUCUUUCCAACAACAAUCGGUGUCAUGUCCCCAAUUAUCAUUUUUACGUCUCAUUUACAUGAGGUGUCUAGGCAAUCCGAAUCCUCAUAGUUACAAAAAACCAGUGUCAUCAUAGUUUGACGCUGGGGAAACUCUCAAAAUCAAAAUUCAAAAUCAUCCCAUCGCCUUUUCGAACUACAAUCGGCAUGAUUCUCGUUACAUCCGAGAUAUGUAGGAAAACUCAACAUAGAGAUCAGCCGCAUCCGCAUCAAAAUCCAUCCAAUCAAAUCCACCUAUCAUCCAACUCCCACGUCCCAGUGUUACCACAGUCCAACACUAGGGCAAUUUUAGGAGCAAUGUCGAGAUCACACGAACCUUUUCGUCCUCAAACAUUUGUCUUCCACUCCUUGAGGCUACGAUUCAUAAGUAGUACUCAAUCCUCUAGAACUACAUGCGGCCUGAUUCUCGUGCAACCUGAGAUAUGUAGGCAACUCAAAUACCAAAGUUCGGUCACAUUCUUCAAAACCUCCUCAUUCCACAUCCUGUCGUGUCAGGUCAAAAUUGAGUAUGUUGUCAAUUUCUUUGUCCGAAGACUCUUACAUCAUCUCCGGUCAAAGAGGGGCAGCUGUUGACAAUCAAUUUUGACCCUCCGUAUUUAAAAAAUGACUUCUACAGGCUUCCUAGUAAAAAAUGAUAAAAAUAUAGUUUUUUGCACAUUAUUUAGCUUUAAUGCAAUUUAUUGAUAAUUACUCCUAUUUUUACAAAACAUGGAAAUUUUAUUGUUUUAUCGUAAUUAGUUAAAUGCUAACGUUUUUGUGCGUUUUUUUAAAUUUUAAGCGAUUUAUUGAUAAUGGUCCUAUUUUUCAACAUUAGGAUAUUCUAUUAAUUUAUUGUCUUUUCAAAAAUAAAAUAAUAAUUACUACGACACAAUUGUAAUAAUUAUAUUUUUGAGUAAAUAAUACAAAAUUUUCUAAUUAAAUAAUUAUAUUUUAAUUCACAACACAUGCUAGUAUGAAAAGAAUUGUACCAGUGCUCUCUUCUCUCUCAUGAAAAAACCCUUAACUUGACUCCUAAACCUAGCUUCCAUGGCCUCGCCGGCCACUGUUCAGCCUCUAAUGGAGGUUGGUCAGUUGUCAGACAACCCUAAAUAGCUUCCCCAAAUAUCUAACAAACCUACUACAAUCACAAACUAUGCAAAAAUCCUCCAGCCCCAAACAUUAAAUGCCCCCAUGCACGUAAACACUGUUAACCUAAACCCCAUCAAGUAUCUGCAUGGAGAACCAAUGGUGAGAUGGAAGAAAACUGAGGUUAAACAAUUUACAUUACGGCAAGGAUUACAUCUAGCAGUCCUGGGCAAAUUCUCCUAUGGAAAACCUGUGAUACACUAGUUGAGAAGGGCUAUACCAAUCCAAUGUGAAUUAAAAAGGCCCAUGUUCAAUAGGCUUGAUUGAGGAUACACAUGUUUUGAUUAAGCUGUCAUUAAUGGAGGAUUAUAUUCACUUGAUGUCCAAUCCAACCUUUUAUUUGAAGGUUCAAAGUGAUUUAUGCAGAUGAGAUGCACUAAGUGGUUCCCAUGGUGGAAACCUGACGAGGAAACUCCCAUUGCAAUUGUGUGGAUUUCGUUUUUGGAUCUUCAUCCUAACUUUUUUGGUAAGGACUUUAUGUUUUCAUUAGCUAAUGCAGUUGGUAGGCCAUUUCAUGUUGAUCUGGCCACUCAAAAUGGCACAAGACCUAGUUGUGCUAAGGUCAAAGUUGAGGUGAAUUUACUAGCAACACUGCCUCAAAGGAUUAAGAUCAUUAAGGAGGAAGAUGAAAGUGGCCCUGAGGAAUCAAAAUGGGUGAAGAUCAAAUAUGACUAUAUCCCUAAAUACUCCAAAACCUACAAGAAACAUGGCCAUAACGAGAGUGAAUGCUGGGUUAUUCAUCCAGAGUUUAACAAAAAAAUAAAUGAAGAAGAUAAUGAUCAAGGCGAUGAGAAGAACAUUAUUUUGCAAAGUGAUGUUGUUGGAACUGCUGUAGCUUCUUCGAAGGUCCUAACAAGUGGAAAAGUACUAGGUAAGCCAGUGCCAAAUGCUACAAGGAAUGAAUAUAUGCAAAGGAGGAAGAAUAAGUAUCAAAGGGACAAUAGAGGGUAUAUAAUCUACGAGGCUGGGAGUGGAGAUGUUACGAAUACUCAAGAGUUGAAGGAGAAGAAAGGAAAGGAGUUAACUGGAAAAGCUGAUGAUGUUGGAAAAUAAAAAUCUAAUAGUCUAGUGCAAACUAGUAAUAAGUUUGCCUUGUUAGAAGAAGGUGAGAUUGAUGUACAAAAACAAAUAAAGAAGGAAGCUGUGGAAAAGGUGUUAAACAAGGAGAUGACUGGGGCAAAGAAGGCGAAUUCUACAUCUACUGGAAAAGAUACUCCAAAUAAGGUAGGAGUGCAAAAUUUGGUAAAUCAAAUUCCUAGUCCUACUGAUGUUGAGAUUGGGAUUAAGGAGGCAAACAAAAAGAUUUCCACGAUUGAGUGGGUCCAUAGGAGGUUUGGAACGAGUAAGGAUAAAUUGAGAGAGAUGAAUUCACGAUUGAGUGGGUCCAUAGGAGGUUUGGAACGAGUAAGGAUAAAUUGAGAGAGAUGAAUUUGAAUCAUCCGUGUCAUGAAAUCACAUCGCAAACCUAUGAUGAUUCAAAGGGGAAUGUAGCUAACAUUGAAGUCAGUUCUGAUAAAAUGUUAUGGAAUGAUGAAGUUGAGUUUAUGGAGGCUCAAAAUACCACAAAUAUUAGUACCAGAAGCAAGGAAUAAAGAGGCAUCAUUCUUGCUAAAGCAGCAGUUGUGGUAAGCCCAAUAUCUACAGUAAAUCCUAGAAAUUCAGAAACUAGGGUUGAAGUUAGAGAAGGGAAAAACCAAUCAUUACCUAAUCCGAUGAUUGGAGAAGAUCAGGGAAUAUAUAAAGAAGCUUGUUACGCAAUUGGAUCAGUUGGAGAUUUUGGGGUAGGGAAAGGUUGACAAGGUUGAUGUAAAUGCUUCAAAGGAUACAGUGAUGGCAAAUCAACAAACAACUCAAGGAAGGACUACUGAUCUUAAUGGAACAGUAAAAAUUGGGAAACUGGCUACAGUGAUUUCUGAGAAUCCUAAUAUGGGUGAUGUGUAAGCCCUGCAGUUCAAAGAGAUUCAGGAGGCUAUGCGUGUUAAGGAGCUCAAUGUUGGGGUGUUAAAGGAAGCUACAAACGGGGUUCGUGAUCAAAUUGAUUUGACAACUAGGAAGGGAAUUUCUGAAACUGGGCAAAAAUAAUAAAGCAAUUCAAAUUGUUGCACCUACAAUAGAUGAUCCUGGACUGUUAGCAGGAAAAACAUUUAGUGUCACCAAUGGAAUAUUGGCAAAGGGAGUUCAUAUUAAAAACAUGGGUCAAAAGGAGCUUGGAAUGAUUGCCAAAAACCAUGAACCAAACUUGUUAGCUCUUUAAGUGAUAGAUGAUGACAAAGGAGAUCAAGAGGAUUUGGGUUAAGAUUUUCAAGAUGAAUUGAUAGAUGCAAACUUUCAACAAGUAUCUAGAGUUGGAGACAUCCCACCUAAGAAUAUGGAUACAAAGAAAUCAGCUGGCAAACCCCCAAGAAGGCAAAAGAAAGACAACAAAGAUAGUGUCCCUUUAAGGAUGCAACCAAAGAUGAUUGUGAUCUUUAAUUCCAAAUAAUCUGAUGGAUAAUGCUAUAGUUUGAAAUGUGAGGUCGAUUAACACAUAGAAAGCUUUCAAUAAAUUGCUUAACCUACAUAGAAAGCAUAACUUUUACUUGAUUGGAUUGAUGGAAACUUGGCAUGACAUCAACAAGCUGGAGGAGUAUAGAAGGAAGCUGGAAAUUCAUUCUGCUUAUGAUAAGAUGAAUGGAAAGAUAUGGGCUUUUGUUGAUGAAGAUAUCGAGGUUGACAUUGUGAUGGACAUGGAACAACAAAUGACAUUAAAAUUGUUCCAUAGAAAUCUGAACAAGGAGUUAUAUGUGACAUUAGUGUAUGACAAAUGUGAUGCUAUAGAAAGAAUUGAGCUAUGGGACUCAAUGUAUCACUUAGCUUCAGAUAUGGAAUCUCCUUGGCUUGUUGGAGGAGAUUUCAAUGUGAUUCUAUCUGAGGAGGAAAAAUAUGGAGGCAUGCCUGUUUCUAUGAGGGAAGUAGAAGACUUUGCACAUUGUGUGGACACAUGUACAUUGUAUGACCUAGGAUUUAAGGGAAGUUUAUAUACUUGGUGGAAUGGAAAGUCGGAUAUUGAUUGCAUAUUUAAGAGGCUCGAUAGAUUAUUUUCAAAUCAACAGUUCCUUGAUCUAUUCCCAGCACUUGAAAUUGAGCACUUGAUCAAGUAUGGCUCAGACCAUGCUCCUUUGCUAUAAUCACGUAACAUUGAUACAGUACAUGUAAAAUUUCUUAAUUUCUGGGCUAAGCAUAAGUCUUUUCUGAAUGUGGUAAAGGAGAAUUGGGUGACUGAUGGCAUGGGAAAUCUAUUUAUUUUAUUUCAAAACAAGCUGAAGAAGGUGAAGACAACAUUGGCAGUGUGGAGUAAGGAGACCUUUGGAGACAUAUUUAAGAAAAUUACAUCAUUGGAGGAUGUUAUUAAGGUUCAUGAGGUGGAGUUUGAAUUGAAUCCAACAACACAAAAUAGGGCUAAACUACACAAGGUAGAAGCAAAUCUUACAAGGUACUAUCACCUUGAGGAGGAAUUUUGGAGAUAAAAGGCUAGUAUGAAGUGGUUUAAAGAUGGGGAUAGAAACACAAAAUUCUUUCAUGCUCAUGUUAGAGGUAAAAGGAAAAGGCUGCAGGUCACUUAAAUACUGGAUGAUAAUGGCAAUUGGAUAGAAUCACAAGAGGGAAUGGCUAAGGAGGCAGUUGAUUUCUUUCAAGCCCAGUUCACAGAAGAAAGAAUUCCAGUAAACUUUGACAUCAUUCAGCAUGUUCCUAAAAUGAUUACUGAUUAGCAAAAUGAAAGGUUGUGGGCAGAACCUACAAUGGAGGAAGUCAAGGCAGCAGUUUUUGGAUUAAAUGGUGAUAGUGCCAGUGGUCCAGAUGGAUUCAUGGGACAAUUUUAUCAAGCGAGUUGGGAGAUAAUAUGCGAAGAUGUGCUCAACAUGGUCAAGGCUUUCUAUUGUGGUGCUGAACUCCCAAAGUUCAUCACCCACACAAAUCUUGUAUUGCUUCUCAAGAAGAAGAAUGUAGCUAUAUUUUCUGGCAUGAGGCCAAUCAGUUUGAGCAAUUUUUCUAACAAAAUCAUAUCCAGAGUUGUUCAUGAGAGGUUAGUAGAUCUACUGCCUUCUUUAAUCUCUCUGAAUUAGGCAGGUUUUGUCAAAGGAAGGAGCAUAGUUGAGAAUAUCUUAUUAACUCAAGAGAUCAUAUCUCAUAUUAGAUUGAGAGGGAAGCCAUCUGAUGUGGUAUUCAAAUUGGACAUGGCAAAUGCUUAUGAUAGAGUCUCAUGGUUGUUUUUGACAAAGGUGCUGAGACAAAUGGGAUUUGGAGAGGUGUUCAUUGACAUGAUCUUUAGAUUAGUGUCCAACAAUUGGUACUCAGUUCUCUUGAAUGGGCAGGCCAAUGGAUUUUUCAAAUCUUCAAAGGGAGUUAAGCAAGGUGAUCCUCUCUCUCCUACAUUGUUCAUUCUAGCAGCUGAAGUGCUUGGGAGAGCCUUGGAUGCCUUGUUUGACAAUCCUGAUUUCAUAGGAUUUGGUAUGCCAAAGUGGAGUCAAAACAUCAACUACUUAUCCUAGGCAGAUGACACAAUUAUUUUCUGUUCUUCUCAUUAUGGGUCAGUUCAGCUUAUCAUGAAUAUAUUGGAGGAAUACGAGACAGCUUCAGGUCAGAAGAUCAACAAAGAAAAAUCUUCCUUUUAUAUGCAUGAAGGUGUACCUACAGAUGAAGCUAACACAAUCCAUUUGAUUACUGAGUUUCAAAGACAUCCCUUUCCAUUCACAUAUUUGGGAUACCCUAUAUUUUACAGCAGGAGACAGAAAAAUUUCUACAAGGGCAUCGUCUUCAAAGUACAUGAGAGAUUAUCAUCAUGGAAGGGUAAGCUACUAUCAAUUGGUGGUAGGGCAGUCCUGAUUGCACAUGUGCUGGAGAGCAUGCCAACUCAUCUUUUGUCAGUUGUUAACCCACCGGCAUAUGUGAUCAAUGAGUUACACAAGAUGUUUGCUUGGUUUUACUGGAGCAAUUUAGGCAAUGGAAAGGCUAGACAUUGGGCUUCAUGGGAUAAUUUAUGUCUGCCUAAAAGUGAGGGAGGUCUUGGCUUUAGAUCCUUACAUGAUGUGUCUAAGGCAUUGUUUGCCAAGCUUUGAUUGAACUAUAGAACAAAAGACACAUUAUGGUCUAUAUUUAUGAGAAACAAAUACUGCAAGAAGGUUAAUGAGGUGCUAGUUCCUUGGAGAAUUGGAUCCCAUUUGUGGAGGAAAAUGCUACAAAUGAGAGACGAGGUGGAGCAUCAAUUGUGGUGGCAACUGAAGAAUGGCAGCUCCUACUUCUGGUAUGAUACUUGGACUGGACUUGAAGCUCUUUACCAUGCUUCAGGUCCAGAUUAUUGGUGUGAUGAAUCUAUAAAGCAUGUGGAAGAUGUGGUGGAGAAUGGGACAUGGAAUGAAGUGCUAUUGAGGGAGCUACUGCCUGAGGAGUUAGCUGACCAUAUCCUAGAGACAAUCACACCACCUUCAAAUCACUCAAUGAAGGAUAAGCCUUGGUGGAAGUUGGAAAUAAAUGGCCAAUUUACUGUGAAGUCUGCUUAACAAUACAUAAGGAAGAAAAGAGAGGAGAGCAAGUUAUACAAGUUAUUUUAGGUAAAUGGAUUGCCUUUCAAGAUUAGUUUCUUCAUGUGGAGGUUGUGGAAAGCAAAGUUGCCUUUAGAUGAUUGGUUCUUAAGGCUAGGGUACUGCAGAACUUCAAGAUGUUGGUGUUGUAGGAAUCCUAAAGAAGAAACGCUAUCUCAUGUCUUCUUGACAUCUCCAACUGCCAGGUCUGUGUGGAAUUAAUUUGUGCACCUGCAGGGAUCAAAACACAAGGGAAGGAGCUGGUACAAUUGAUAAAUGAAUAGUGGAACAAAUCGGGAAAUACAGGUUUGAAGGCAGUAUACCAAGCAAUGCCAAGACUACCCAAAUGCUGCUGAAAGUGAGGAGACCAGGCAUCAAGGGUGUCACAGCAAACUGGCCAGACCUACAUGAGAAGUUAGCACAUCAUGUUCCUAACCUGAGUUAUACUAAGGUGUUGUGGCAAUUACCUCAUGUGUGUUGGAUAAAAUGCAAUACUGAUGGGGCUUGUAGAGGAGACAAUGGAGGAGCUUCAUAUGGUUUUUGUAUUAGGGAUGGAAUAGGAGAUCUCAUCUAUGCCCAGGCAGAUGCAGUAGAGGAUGCAACAAACAACAUAGCAGAGGCACAAGCUAUUCUGGAGGCCCUGAGGUAUAUUAUUCCAAAGCAAUUUCCUCCAUGCAUAAUUGAAACUGAUUCUUUGCUUAUGAAAAAUGAGCUGGAUGAAAUUUGGGAACCACCUUGGAGUAUAGCCAAUCAGGUUGAUGAAAUUUAAAUAUUACUGUCUUGGGGUGUAUUUCAUUUAGUCCAUGUACUGAGGGAAGGCAACAAGUUAGCUGAUCAUCUAGCUAACUUGACCUUGGACCAACCGCAUAUACAACAGGUACAUUCAUUUUGGGAACUAGACAUGCAAGGGAGGAGGAUUCUAAAUAAUGACAAACUUCAAAUACCCUAUUUGAGGGUAAGAGUUGCCAAGUCAAAUACUAAUUGAUGAAGGUGCUAGAUGAUAUAGAGGGUGAGGAGGAGAUCACACUAGUAAAGAUGAUGAGAAAGUAUUAUGGAGAAAGGAGGCAAGCAAUAGGGGAUGGAGAUCACAUGACCCUUCUAACUCAAAUCCUAAAGGAGGAGAGAAGGAAGGAUUUUUUCUCUAACAUGUUUGUUAAUUUUGCAGGUACUUUGGUCUCACAAAGGAAGCCGGCCUUUCAAAGAGGUGUUGCAAGUUGAAAUCAAUUAGAUUGCUUCAAUGUUUAUGGUUAUUAGUUCCUUUUGUACUACUCCCUCUUUUCCAAUUUAUGUGAACCUAUUUAUUUUUUGGUCCGUUCCAAAAAGAAUGACCCCUUUCUAAAUUUGGAAACAAUUUAACUUAAACUUAUAAUUUUACCCUUAAUGAGAAGCCUUUAUAACCACACAAAUACUCUGGGCUCCUUUUUAACUUGUUUAAGAUCACAAAUUCCAAAGGAUUGUUUUACACAAGACUUUGAUAAUAGGUUCCAUGUACUCUCAUUUAUUACGCACUUACAUUUUGUGAGACCUCCAGAUAUAUGUUGUUUUAUUUUUGAUUAUCUCAGCCUAGUGGUAUAUUAGCAAAAAACAAAACACAGUCUAGUAAUUAUAUGAAAGCCAGUGGAAUUGAUUUCAAAAUAAGGAUCAAGUUCGAUCAAAUUCAAUGUCCCGUUAAUAUCCGAUGUGAUAAAAUAUUUUAUGUGACUAGAUAUUGACGCGACAUGACACUGAUGUGAUAUGUCAUAUGACGUGACAUGACACCUUUUCAUUUCAACUACAUAUUUUUCUUCUUAUUUUAUAUUUAUUUUUUUCUACUAAAAACAAGAACCACAUAUUUUUACAUACAUCGUACUAUAAUAUAUUUUCUUACACUACACACAAAAAAAUACACUAUCAUAUUUUUGACUGACAAGAACCCUAAAAAAGUUCUCUCAACAUCAUCUUCUCUCUCAAGAGACCACAGCUGCCAAGCUCCCUUGCUGCCUCUGCCAAACACCGGAUUCUGGCGAGUCUAGUAGCCUUCAGCCUCCUCCUAUCUCAAAAAGGGACUCUCUCAACUCCAAGAGAGAACAACCGCAUAUCCAUCUUUGGAGAUUCCCCUUUGUCUCUCACCCUCACUUCUCAAUAGACAGCCACCUCCUCCUUCAUUUUUCAUCUGUUUUCCCUCAACCUUGAGAUAAAAAAAGCUUCCCCCAUCUCUGUUCCUUCACGGCUUUGUUCAAAACCCGCCGGAAAUAAUUUUAUUUGGUCAAACGCAAACAGAUCUGACCGGAUCUGUGUUUUCCGGUCGACUCCGGCGAAGCCAUGUUCUCUUGAUGUUGCUGGUGCUAUUCCGGAGUCAUCGCUGUUGAAGUAGCACCGCUGGCCUUUGAUAAUGAAGCUAAAAUCUAGAGAAACCCGGAACCUUAUCUUUCUGGCCACCUCUGAGUUUUGCGGCCACUGGUUCUUGCGCUUUCAUCCAACAAUUUGAGGCCUUUGGUUGUGAUUGUUUGCUGUGUUUGGACGUUAUUACUCGUGAGUUCGCGUCGCCUGUUCGCCGGGUAUUUUGUUUGUUGUUUGACCCGUAUGGUGAUAGUUUAUACUUUUUGAUUAAUGCCAUAUCUUGGUUUGAAAGUGGUUUGUUACACCACUGUUGGCUGCCGUUUCAGAUUGUUCUUGGUUCUCUUGUGAAAGCCCAUUUACUCUUUUGACACAUUACAUGAGAAUUACCCGUUACAGCACAUGGGUUUGACCACUACUGUUUGUUGCUCUUUAUUAAUGUAGAACUUGGGUCCGUUUGAUUGACUCGGUUUUGGCAAGAGAUGCAGAUUGGAACAAGAAUACUACACAGGCCGAUCACAGUAAUUUUUGAGGCUACGAUUCCACGAACGACCUUCUAAACCGGGCCCAAAAUAACGAGACGAUGAUAAUAAACAUUGGGGAAUAAAAGACGAGAUGCGAUGAACCAAUAAAACUAUGGAGGGCGACAAAGUUGGCCACCGGAGUCGUUACCGAGACGGUUCCCUUCCUCAUGUCUAGGCGGAUAUCGAAAAACACAUAUCUAAACCUCCUAUAUUAUUUUUAAAACUAUUUUUCAAAAAUAAUUUCCGAAAAACAUUUUUUGCAAACAAUUUUUCAUAAACAAAAAUAUUUUUGCAAAUCAUUUUCAAGUGCAAUUUUUCAAAAACAUUUUCAAAACAUGCCACUUUAUUAACUUAUCUUUUAUGUUAUAUUAUUUCGCUAACAAUUUUACUUUUCUUGUCUUGCGAGGUACUAUUAUACGAAGCCUCUUUCGAAAGACGGCAUUUGGAAAAAGAUCGAAGACAAAUACCUCAUCGAUCCCCGCUUCGUACUUCCCAUUCAUGGAUGUACCCAAAACCAAAAGUAUAGUAAAGUAGUAGAUAGAUGUGUUUGUUUGCUUGCUUUAAUAUUAUCUAUUUGCUAACCAUUUAGGAAAUUGCAUCUACUUAAUAAUCUGUAAUUCAUAAUGUUGUAUGUUAUGUGAGUUCAAAAAAUUAUUCAUGUAUGCUAGGUUGAAUACAUUCAUAAUGUGAUUGAUAUGCAUUCACCUAACUAAAUCAGACAUACAUAAAAUAAAAACGUGUCAUCUUUCAAAAAAUAAAAUAGAUAAUUUUGUCUUUGUCUUACAAUUGUAUGAGCACCUUUUUGAAUCAUUUAUAUAUAAAUUAUUUUUUAAUUGACACAUCUUAAGUAUGAAAUUAUAGUUGGACUAUCAUACCAUUCUUUGUGAAACUUAGGCCAGUUGGUUUAUUCCAUCAUCUUAAGUAUGGAAUUAUAGUUGAGAAACUUAUGUAAAUUGUAAAGUGUUUUUGUUCGCGUUCGCGACAUUUUGCACGCGAUUGUGUAAGGUCUAGUUGGUUUAUGUCCGCGUUCGUGAUGCUUAUUCUGCGUUCGCGUAGAGUUGGAGUUGGAAAGGGCAUCAGGAAUUUGUUCUCUACUUUCGCAUCAUCGGGUCUGAGGCUGCGUAUUAGGAGGUUGCUAUGUUUCGCGUUCGCAUUUGUUUGUUCGCUUUCGCGUAGGGUUAUUUUGGUAGACUUCAUUUUUGUCCUUCGCGAUUGUGUGGAAUUUUCUGCGAUCACGAUGUGUUAUAACUGUUCAGAAUAUAAAAGUACUAUAAUUUGAGGGUUAGCUAUUUUCAUCAUAUUUUGAGUUGUAGAUUUUGGAUUUGAGCGAUUUUUCGUGAAUUUUUCAAGCAAAUCAUUGGGGUAAGUCUUCUUCACCCGGAAUUCAUUAUGUUUCAUGAUUCCAUCUUUAUUUUUAUCAUUAAAUUAGUAGUUUGAGUUGAAGAAAAUGGAAAAUUUUGUACAAAUCUUUUAAAAUGUAAAAUGACGAUUUGAAGGACGAAUUGGUAUCGGAAUUUGUUAAUUUAUGUAUGGUUGAACUCGUUAUUGAAUGAGCGUUCGGGUUUUGUGAAUUUUAAUCGGUUUCUGAGGUGUGGGCUCUGGGUUUUAUUUUUGGGUUGACUUUUUAGUUUUUAUUAAAGAUUGAAGCUUUAAUAUCCGAAAUUAUUUACUAUGAGUUUUAUUUAUGAUUUGGAGUUAAUUUUGCUAGAUUUGAGCCGUCCGGAGUAUGUUUCACUCGAGAAGGUCAGUUUAGAGUAUCAGUCUAGCUUCUUUGAGGUAAGUAUCUUGCCUAACUUUGUGUGGGGAACUAUCCCUUUGGAUUUGAAUCAUUUGUGCUAGUUAUGUCAUGUGAAGGUCGUGUACGCGAGGUGACGAGUACGCACUCGGGCUUAUUUAUGGAAAUUUGACCGUUUAGGGCUCUUAGGUUCAUAUGUUCAUUAAAUAUGAAGUUGUUUUGUCAUGUUAAACUCCCAAUUUACUAAAUUCACUCUUAUAUGUCUUAAUUUGAAUUGAUUGCUUCAUGUUCUACUCUUAUUGCCGAUUAAACUCUUAUGUGCCUUAACUGAAAUUAUUGCAUCUUUUAUUGCCGUGCUAUCCUUUCCGUAAUUGUUUAUCCUUGAUUGAAGUUAUUAUUAUCUUUUCCGUAAUUGCCUAUCAAUAGUUGAAGUUAUCCUUAAUUGAAUUUGUAGUAUCUCUUCCGUAAUUGCUCAACCUUAAAUGAAGAUUUGUUAUUGCUUAUCACUGUUAACUUAUCCUUAACUCGAAUCAUUGAUUCAUGUCAUCCCUCUUAUCAUUGAAUUGUACUUUUGUGGAAUUAUUACUACACAUUAUCUCAUCCUGGUUGAGUUAUUGCUAUGUUGUACUAUUAUUUUCUGUAGUGUCUUUCUUUGUAAGUUCGUUCUUCCGUUUUCUUUGUAUUCUGAAGUUACUGAGUUGAUUUACUGGCCGUAUUAUCGUGUUAUUGUCGCUGUUGCUAUUUUAUUCAGUGUUGUUAAGCCGAGGGCUAUAUAUGGUUGUGAUAUUGAAACUGUUUUGAGGAAAUAUUGUGGUAUGUGGGCACAUAUUGUCAAAGCCAUUUAUUUGAGUUAUGUUUUUGGCAUACGUGUUUUGUUGAGAAAAUUAUUAUGUUAAUUGCACAAAGUUUCUGCCGUGCGGUUGUUAUUGUGUUGCACGAGGUUUCUGUCAUGCUGUUGUUAUUAUUGAUACGCCUGCAGUGGUAUAAGGUCUGAAUGUUGAAACGCAUGCGGUGGGAUAAGGUGUGUUUGAAACACGUGGAUAGUAUGGGAACUACUAGAAGUCAUGCAGUGUGAUAAGAUGGGCUAAAACGCGGGAUGCUAUUUCGGAAAAAUAAUUUUCAAAACUAAAUAUAAAGGCUCUCGCGGUGAUAUAAGAAAAGUUGUGAUUCAUUUUACGAUUUGAGACUACGAGGCGGUACUUCGGGAGGGCUCUUAUUGUCAUUUUCCCUUUUCUGUGCACUUGUCUUUGAUUGUUGUUUUCCUCUGUGAUGCACUUUUUGCUCAGUUCUAUGUAACUAAUCUUGUUGUGCUGGUCGUUGCUUCAAAUUUCAUUGCUGCUUUUAUUACACUGUACAUUUCGUGGUGAUCAUUUUUUAUGGGUCAUUCAUUGUCUCUACUCCUAUUUGUUGGCUGGAAUUGUGGUGGAAUACUUGCACAAGUAUGCACGUAGUUAAAUCACCCAUAUCGAUUUCAAAAGGUGAAUCCUGAUGUCAUUAACCAUUAUACGUACUCUUAUCUACUUGCCUUCUGUGUGAGGGAUGUUCUAUUGGCAUGUGAGUCGUCCGUGCAGAUAUGAGUUGUAAUGUGGGUACAAGAUGCCAAGUGAUUAGGGUUCAAGAAUUAGGACCCGUGAGCUGUGAUUAUGAGGUUCGGUACCUCGUGAAAAUGAUUGAACAAAUCUGGUGUGACAGCGGUUGUUAUUAUUGAGUUGUUGCUGGUGAUCGUUUUUUAUGGGUCAUUCAUUGUCUCUACUCCUAUUUGUUGCCUGGAAUUGUGGUGGAACACUUGCACAAGCAUACACGUGUUAAAUCACCCAUAUCAGUUUCAAAAGGUGAAUCCUGACGUCAUUAACCAUUAUACGUACUCUUGUCUACUUGCCUUAUGUGUGAGAGAUGUUCUAUUGGCAUGUGAGUCGUCUGUGCAGAUAUGAGUUGUAAUGUGGGCACAAGAUGCCAAGUGAUUAGGGUUCAAGAAUUGGGACCCGUGAGCUGUGAUUAUGAGGUUCGGUACCUCGUGAAAAUGAUUGAACAAAUCUGGUGUGACAUCGGUUGUUAUUAUUGAGUUGUUGCUGGUUUUUCCUUUAUUUUGAUUUCACCUGACUUAGACUGUGUCCAGCUUACUCUACGACAUUAUUACCUCACUGCUUCCUAUUAAAUAUUAUUGUUAUUGGUGUCUCGUUGUAAGUAUCGUUUGGUAUUCCUUAUCCUGCUUAGUUGUAUAUUAAUAUUGUUUUUCUCUGUUAGUUCACCUUCACACUUGUUCAGGUUGUUUAGUCUGGUAGGUGUCUUGACUGCUCUUCGUCACUACUCCAUCGAGAUUAGUUUUGAUACUUACUGGGUACCGUAGUGGUGUACUCAUACUAUGCUUCUGCACAUAUUUGUGUAGUUUCAGGUGCCACAGUUGUUGUUGAUUAUUAGCUGACUGGUCGAGCUGUGGAGACUCAAGGUAAACUUGCCGUCGCGUCCGCAGGCCUCGGAGUCACCUUCUGAUAUUUUAAUUGUACUGUUCCCGAACAGUUGCAUUUAGAAAUUUUUCUAGCAAAGUUAGUAGAACUUAUGACGUGUACUACCGGUUUUGGGAAUUGUAUGUUGUGUAUAAAGAUUUCUAUUUCAUAUUUAUCAUUGGUGAUUGAAUUCUUCUAUUAAUUUAGUAAGUGUUAGGCUUACCUAGUCUUAGAGACUAGGUGCCGUCACGGCAUCCUACGAAGGAAAAUUGGGGUCGUGACAAAAGUGUAAGAUAUAGUGUUUGUACAUCCUUUAACCUUGUCUUACAUUUUGUCCUAUCCUUCAUUAAACUUUGUACUUUAGUCAAAUCAUAUAUUAUCCCCUUCUUACCUAAUCC